UGAGGCUGAGGUAGCCGUCGGUGCAGUUGCAGCGGCCGGGGGCGGACCGCCGGCGCCACUCCCAGCAGACUCCUGCUGCUGGGAGCCAGACCUGCCGGCGGGCGUGGUACCCAGCGGAGUAGUCACGCCCUUGGGAGCAGAGGGGGAGGAGGCCCUGGCAAGCAAGGAUGGGUUGAGACCCGACGACAUGAUAAUUACACCCGCAAAAACAAGGAUGGAGCUACACUUACUUCGGGCCCUAGACCUUCCAACGGCCCUGGAAGCGGGACGUCCACUGCUGUUGCUGCUGGCGCCCCUGGGGAAGAUCACCCCCAGGUGGUGGUGGCGGGACCGAUGGUGGUGGUGGCGGCGACGACGGAUCCGAUGGUGGCGGUGGCAGAGGACUGAGGCUCCUCUGCACGCCCUAGGCCUGGGGGUCGGUCCCCUCGGCCUCGCCAACGGUCCUCUAGCGCUUCUGGGGCGGGUCUGAAUCAACGGGUGGGUCCGUGACAAACGACCCGUCAGUACGACGCAGCCGGCGUCGCCUCUCUUCUUCCAACCCCCUGGUGCCACCCGGGGCGAGGGAGCUACUUGCAGCCCCUUUGCCCUUGUCCAAGGGGCUGGGGGCCACUAGGGAGCUCUGGAACCCGCACCGGCGGGCUGAGAACCUCCUGCCGGUACACCGGGGAUCUGGAUCCUGCGGUCAGGGUCCCGGCCGCCGGUCUGGCGAACCGCCACGCCGCUCUCGUCAAGGGUCGGCAGCCAGUCCAAGAUCGCCGCCCUCAGCCCUGCGUCGUCGUAGAGCGGAGGGAUGCCCUAGGGAGGGAUUAGGGACUCAGGGACAAAGGACUCACUAGUAAUCCCCUUCACCAAGACUUCCAGCUCCUCCCAGGACAGGUCGGUCCCUGGCCCGCGCUGGAUCUGGCCGAUGUCGUUUGAGCCGGUGAACCAGCAGCACAGACGCGCCCUUUGCUGUAGCGACGCGAUUCAGCGCUUCAGGAAGUCACCGACCACGUGCAUCGACGUCAGGCCGCCCGCUGCCAAGCUCUUGAUCCUAUCCAGCACGGGCUCGAACUUCGGCACCAGCGACGGCUUGGCCCUCCAUUGCUUCUGGUCGAGCCUUGGUGAAAGUCGCCUAGAGGGGGGUGAAUAGGCGGAAUCUGAAAAUUAUAAACUUAAGCACACACUACAAGUCGGGGUUAGCGUUAGAAAUAAAAUCGAGUCCGAAAGAGAGGGCGAAAACAAAUCACAAGCAAAUGAAGAGUGUGACACGGUGAUUUGUUUUACCGAGGUUCGGUUCUUGCAAACCUACUCCCCGUUGAGGUGGUCACAAAGACCGGGUCUCUUUCAGCCCUUUCCCUCUCUCAAAUGGUCACUUAGACCGAGUGAGCUUCUCUUCUCAAUCAAUUAGGACACUUAGUCCCCACAAGGACCACCACACAAUUGGUGUCUCUUGCCUUGAUUACAAAUGUCUUGAAAACAAGAAAGAGGAAGAAGAAAAGCGAUCCAAGCGCAAGAACUCAAAUGAACACAAAUAUCUCUCUCUCACUAGUCACUAAUUGUUUGGAGUGAUCUUUGGACUUGGGAGAGGAUUUGAUCUCUUGUUUGUGUCUUGGAGUGGAGUCUAGAGCUCUUGUAUUGAAUGCAAUGGCUGAAAACUUGGAUCCCUUGAAGUGUGGUGGUUGGGGGUAUUUAUAGCCCCAACCACCAAAGUGCCCAUUGGGGAUGGCUGCUGUCGACGGGCGCACCGGACAGUCCAGUGCGCCACCGGACACUGUCCGGUGCGCCAGCCACGUCACCCAACCGUUAGGGUUCGACCGUUGGAGCUUCUGACAACUGGACCACCGGACAGUCCUGUGGUGCACCGGAUAGUCACUGUUCACUGUCUGGUGUGCCUUCUGGCGCUGCUCUGACUCCGCGCGCGCAGUCCGCACUGUUCACUGUUCACUUUUGCAGACGACCGUUGGCGCGCUAGCCGUUGCUCCGCUGGCACACCGGACAGUCCGGUGAAUUAUAGUGGAGAGCAAUUUCCAGAAACCCGAAGCUGAGGAGUUCAGAGGAAUUCUCUCUGUUGCACCGGACACUGUCCGAUGGCACACCGGACAGUCUGGUGCGCCAAACCAGGGCAGCCUUCGGUUGGUUUUGCUCUUUUCUAUUUGAACCCUUUCUUGGACUUUUUAUUGGUUUGUGUUGAACCUUUGGCACAUGUAGAACUUAUAAUCUGGAGUAAACUAGUUAGUCCAAUUGUUUGUGUUGGGCAAUUCAACCACCAAAAUUAUUUAGGAAAAGGUUUGACCCUAUUUCCCUUUCAAUCUCCCCCUUUUUGGUGAUUGAUGCCAACACAAACCAAAGCAAAUAUAAAAGUGCAUAAUUGAACUAGUUUGCAUAAGGUAAGUGCAAAGGUUGCUUUGAGUGAAACCAAUAAUUAUUUCUACUAGAUAUGCAUGGAUUGUUUUCUUCUUAUUUAAAAUUUUGGACCACGCUUGCACCACUUAUGUUUUGUUUUUGCAAAUUCUUUUGGAAAUUCUUUUCAAAGUCUUUUUGCAAAUAGUCAAAGGUAUAUGAAUAAGAGUUCGAGAAGCAAUUUCAAGAUUUGAAAUUUUCUCCCCCCAUUUCAAAUGUUUUUCCUUUGACUAAACAAAAACUCCCCCUCAAUGAAAUUCUCCUCUUAGUGUUCAAGAGGGUUUUACCAAUUGAGAUAGAAUUUUUAAAUAUACCAAUUGAAAAACAUUUAAAACUUAAACUUAUUUUGAAAAUUUUUGAAAUUGGCGUGGUGAUGCGGUCCUUUUGCUUUGGGCUAAUACUUUCUCCCCCUUUGGCAUGAAUCGCCAAAAACGGAUACUUGUGAGUGAAAUAUGAGCCCUUAAACUUUCUCCCCAAUGGCAAACAAAUAAAUAUGAUUAAGAUUAUACCAAUGUGGAGAUAUAGCGGAAUACCGGCAAAGAGUAAAUAAUACCGAUGGAGUUGAGCGGAAGCGUCGUCUUUGUCGAAUACUCUAUUUUCCUUUCAAUUCUAUGACUAAGCAUGAGAAUACACUUGAAAACACAUUAGUCAUAGACAUAAAAGAGAUAUGAUCAAAGGUAUAUAAAUGAGCUAUGUGUGCAAAGUAUCAAUCAAAAUUCCGAGAAUCUAGAAUGUCUAGCUCAUUCCUAAGUCUGGUAAAGGUUUUCUCAUCAAGUGGCUUGGUAAAGAUAUCGACUAAUUGAUCUUUGGUGUUAAUAUAGGCUAUCUCGAUAUCCCCCCUUUGUUGGUGAUCCCUCAAAAAGUGAUACCGAAUGGCUAUGUGCUUAGUGCGACUGUGCUCAACGGGAUAAUCCGCCAUACGGAUUGCACUCUCAUUAUCACAUAGGAGAGGGACUUUGCUAAAUUUGUAGCCAUAGUCCCUAAGGGUUUGCCUCAUCCAAAGUAAUUGCGCACAACAAUGGCCUGCAGCAAUAUACUCGGCUUCGGCGGUACAAAGAGCGACUGAGUUUUGUUUCUUUGAAGCCCAAGACACCAGGGAUCUUCCGAGAAACUGACAAGUCCCUGAUGUGCUCUUCCUAUCAAUUUUACACCCUGCCAAUCAGCAUCUGAAUAUCCUAAUAAAUCAAAAGAGCAUCCCUUGGGGUACCAAAGACCAAACUUAGGAGUAUAAACUAAAUAUCUCAAAAUUCUCUUCACGGCCCUAAGGUGAACUACCUUAGGAUCGGCUUGGAACCUUGCACACAUGCAUACAGAAAGCAUAAUAUCCGGUCGAGAUGCACAUAAAUAGAGUAGAGAUCCUAUCGUCGACCAGUAUACCUUUUGAUCUACGGAUUUACCUCCCGUGUCGAGGUCGAGAUGCCCAUUGGUUCCCAUGGGUGUCUUGAUGGGCUUGGCAUCCUUCAUUCCAAACUUGGUGAGUAUAUCUUGAAUGUACUUUGUUUGGCUGAUGAAGGUGCCCUCUUGGAGUUGCUUGACUUGAAAUCCUAGAAAAUACUUCAACUCCCCCAUCAUAGACAUCUCAAAUUUCUAGACCAUGAUCCUACUAAACUCUUCACAUGUAGAUUUAUUAGUAGACCCAAAUAUGAUAUCAUUAACAUAAAUUUGGCAUACAAACAAAUCUUUUGCAAUAGUUUUAGUAAAGAGAGUAGGAUCGGCUUUGCCGACUUUGAAGCCAUUAGUGAUAAGGAAAUCUCUUAGGCAUUCGUACCAUGCUCUUGGGGCUUGCUUGAGCCCAUAAAGCGCCUUUGAGAGUUUAUAGACAUGGUUAGGGUACUCACUAUCUUCAAAGCCAGGAGGUUGCUCAACAUAGACCUCUUCCUUAAUUGGUCCAUUGAGGAAGGCACUUUUCACGUCCAUUUGAUAGAGCUUAAAGCCAUGGUAAGUAGCAUAGGCAAGUAAUAUACGAAUUGACUCAAGCCUAGCUACGGGUGCAUAGGUUUCACCAAAAUCCAAACCUUUGACUUGUGAAUAACCCUUGGCCACAAGUCGUGCUUUGUUCUUUGUCACCACACCAUGCUCAUCUUACUUGUUGCGGAAUACCCACUUGGUACCUACAACAUUUUGGUUAGGACAUGGAACUAAAUGCCAUACCUCAUUCCCCGUGAAGUUGUUGAGCUCCUCUUGUAUCGCCAGCACCCAAUCCAAAUCUUUAAGUGCAUCCUCUACCCUGUGUGGCUCAAUAGAGGAAACAAAAGAGUAAUGUUCACAAAAAUGAGCGACUCGAGAUCGAGUGGUUACCCCCUUAUGAAUAUCACCGAGGAUGGUGUUCACUAGGUGAUCUCUUUGAAUCGCCUGGUGGACUCUUGGGUGUGGCGAUCUUGGACCCUCAUCAUCUUCCUUGUCUUGUUCAUUAGCAUCUCCCCUUCAUCAUUGUCUUCCUCUUGAGGUGGCUCUUCUUGAUCUUCAUUUUCAUCAUCUUCAGCUUGAUCCUCAUCUUGAGUUGGUGGAGAUGCUUGCAUUGAGGAAGAUGGUUGAUCUUGUGCGUGUGGAGGCUCUUUGGAUUCCUUAGGACACACAUCCCCAAUGGACAUGUUCCUUAGCGCGACACAUGGAGCCUCUUCAUCAUCUAGCUCAUCAAGAUCAACUUGCUCUACUUGAGAGCCGUUAGUCUCAUCAAACACAACGUCACAAGAAACUUCAACUAGUCCAGUGGACUUGUUAAAGACUCUAUAUGCCCUUGUGUUUGAGUCAUAACCAAGUAAAAAGCCUUCUACAGCCUUAGGAGCAAAUUUAGAUUUUCUACCUCUUUUAACAAGGAUAAAACAUUUGCUACCAAAGACUCUAAAAUAUGAAACAUUGGGCUUUUUACCGGUGAGGAGUUCAUAGGAGGUCUUCUUGAGGAUUCAGUGAAGGUAGAGAUGGUUGAUGGCGUAGCAAGCAGUGUUGAUUGCUUCCGCCCAAAACCGGUCCGAAGUCUUGUACUCAUCAAUCAUGGUCCUCGCCAUGUCAAGUAGAGUUCUAUUCUUCCUCUCCACUACACCAUUUUGUUGUGGCGUGUAGGGAGAAGAGAACUCAUGCUCGAUGCCCUCGUCCUCAAGAAAGCCUUCAAUUUGAGAGUUCUUGAACUCCGUUCCAUUGUCGCUUCUAAUCUUUUUGAUCCUUAAGCCGCACACAUUUUGAUCCCGUCUCAAGAAUCCUUUUAAGGUCUCUUGGGUUUGUGUUUUUUUCCUGCAAAAAGAAUACCCAAGUGAAGCGAGAAUAAUCAUCCAAAUUAUAAGACAAUACUUACUCCCGCCGAUGCUUAUGUAAGCGAUUGGGCCGAAUAGAUCCAUGUGGAGUAGCUCAAGCGGCCUAUCGGUCGUCAUGAUGUUCUUGUGUGGAUGAUGAACACCAACUUGCUUCCCUGCUUGGCAUGCACUACAAAUCCUGUCUUUCUCAAAAUGAACAUUUGUUAGUCCCAAAAUGUGCUCUCCCUUUAGAAGCUUAUGAAGAUUCUUCAUCCCAACGUGAGCUAGUCGGCAAUGCCAGAGCCAGCCCAUGUUAGUCUUAGCAAUUAAGCAAGUGUCGAGUUCAGCUCUAUUAAAAUCAACUAAGUAUAGCUGACUCUCUAACACUCCCUUAAAUGUUACUGAAUCAUCACUUCUUCUAAAGAUAGUAACACCUAAAUCUGUAAAAAGACAGUUGUAACCCAUUUUACAUAAUUGAGAAACAGAAAGCAAAUUGUAAUCUAAAAAAUCUACAAGAAAAACAUUGGAAAUAGAAUGGUCAGAUGAUAUAGCAAUUUUACCCAAUCCUUUGACCAAACCUUGAUUUCCAUCCCCGAAUGUGAUUGCUCUUUGGGGAUCUUGGUUUUUCUCAUAGGAGGAGAACAUCCUUUUCUCCCCAGUCAUGUGAUUUAUGCACCCGCUAUCAAUGAUCCAACUUGAGCCCCCGGAUGCAUAAACCUACAAAACAAGUUUAGGCCUUGUUCUUAGGUACCCAAAUGGUCUUGGGUCCUUUCACAUCAGAAACAAGCACCUUAGGUACCCAAACACAAGUCUUGGAGCCCUUGUGUUUGCCCCCAACAUAUUUGGCAACUACUUUGCCUGAUUUGUUUGUAAGCACAUAUGAAGCAUCAAAAGUCUUAAAUGAAAUGUUAUGAUCAUUUGAUGCAGUAGGAGAUUUCUUUUUAGGCAUUUUAACAUGGGUAGAAUGUCUAGAGCUAGAAGCCUCAUUCUUAUAAAUAAAAGCAUGGUGAGAAACAGAAUGAGUCUUCUUUGCAUGAAUUCUCCUAAUCUUAUCCUCAGGAUAACCAGCAGGAUAUAAAAUAUAGCCCUUGUUAUCCUGAGGCAUGGGAGCCUUGCCCUUAACAAAAUUAGACAAUCUUUUAGGGGCAUUAAUUUUAACAUUGCCUCCCUGUUGGAAGUCAAUGCCAUCCUUAAUGCCUGGGCGUCUCCCACUAUAGAGCAUACUUCUAGCAAAUUUAAAUUUUUCAUUUUCUAAGUCAUGCUCAUUAAUUUUAGCACUAAGUUGAGCUAUGUGAUCAUUUUGUUGUUUAAUUAAAGCUAGGUGAUAAUGAAUAGCAUCAACAUUAAUGUCUCUACAUCUAGUACAAAUAGUAACAUGAUCAACACUAGAUGUAGAUGGUUUGCAAGCAUUUAAUUCAUCAAUCUUAGCAUGUAACAUGGCAUUCUCAUUUCUAAGAUUAGAAAUAGAAACAUUGCAAAUAUUUAAAUCUUUAGCCUUAGAAAUUAAUUUAUCAUUCUCAAUCUUAAGGCUAGAAAGUGAUUCAUUCAACCUGUCAAUUUUAGCAACCAAACUAGCAUUAUCAUUUUUAAGUUUGACAAGAAAAUCAUCACAAACAUGUAAUUUCUCAACCUUAGCAAUUAAUUUGGCAUUUUAAUUUCUGAGGUUAGAGAUAGUGUCAUGGCAAGUGCUUAGCUCACUAGUCAAUUUUUCACAUUUUUCUAUCUCUAGAACAUAAGCAUUUUUAACCUUAACAUGCUUCUUGUUUUCCUUAAUAAGGAAGUCCUCUUGGCUAUCCAAGAGUUCAUCCUUCUCAUGAAUAGCACUAAUUAAUUCAUUCAAUUUUUUCUUUUGUUGCAUGUUUAGGUUGGCAAAAAGUGUAAGCAAAUCAUCCUCAUCAUCACUAGAGUUAUCCUCAUCACUAGGUGUUGCAUAUUUAGUGGAGGCUCUAGAUUUUACCUUCUUCUUUUUGUCGUCCUUUUCCAUGAGGCACUUGUGGCCGACGUUGGGGAAGAGGAGGCCCUUGUUGACGGCGAUGUUGGCGGCGUCCUCGUCGGAGGAGGAGUUGGUGGAGCUCUCGUCGGAGUCCCACUCCCGACAAACAUGGGCAUCGCCGCGCUUCUUCUUAUAGUACCUCUUCUUCUCCUUCUUCUUCCCCCUUUUGUCGUCGCCCCUGUCACUGUCACUAGAAAUAGGAAAUUUUGCUAUAAAGUGAUCGGGCUUACCACACUUGUAGCAAACUUUCUUGGAACGGGGCUUAUAGUCUUUCCCCUUCCGUUGCUUGAAGAUUUGGCGAAAGCUCUUGAUGAUGAGCGCCAUCUCCUCGUUGUCGAGCUUGGAGGCGUCGAUGGGGAGCCUACUUGAUGUAGACUCUUCUUUCUUCUCCUCCGUUGCUUUGAAGGCAACGGGUUGCACCUCGGGUGUGGAGGUGGCGCCUCGCUCGAUGAUUUGUUUGGAGCCUUUGAUCAUCAACUCAAAGCUCACAAACUUUCCUAUAACCUCCUCGGGAGACAUUAGCUUGUAUCUAGGAUCACCACGAAUUAAUUGAACUUGAGUAGGAUUAAGAAAACAAGUGAUCUUAGAAUAACCUUGACCAUUUCAUGGUCAUCCCAUUUUGUGCUCCCGAGGUUGCGCACUUGGUUCACCAAGGUCUUGAGCCGGUUGUACAUGGUUUGUGGCUCCUCUCCUUGGUUGAGCAUGAAUCGACCGAGCUCCCCCUCGAUCGUCUCCCGCUUGGUGAUCUUAGUCACCUCAUCUCCUUCGUGCGCGGUCUUGAGUGCGUCCCAAAUCUCUUUGGCACUCUUCAACCCUUGCACCUUAUUAUACUCCUCUCGACUUAGAGAGACGAGGAGUAUAGUAGUGGCUUGGGAGUUGAAGUGCCGGAUUUGGGCAACCUCGUCCGAAUCAUAAUCUUCAUCCCCUACGGAUGGUGCUUGUACUCCAAACUCAACAACAUCCCAAAUGCUAGUGUGGAGUGAGGUUAGAUGGUGCCUCAUUUUAUCACUCCACAUACAAUAAUCUUCACCGUAAAAAAUCGGUGGUUUGCCUAAUGGGACGGAAAGUAAUGGAGUACGUUUAGAAAUGCGAGGGUAGCGUAAGGGAAUCUUACUAAACUUCUUGCGCUCAUGACGCUUAGAAGUGACGGACGGCGCAUUGGAGCCGGAGGUAGAUGGCGAUGAAGAGUCGGUCUUGUAGUAGACCACCUUCUUCAUCUUAUUUUUCUUGUCGCCGCUUCGAUACGACUUGGUGUGUGAAGGGGAUCCCUUCCCCUUGUUGCCGGACUCUCCCGAUGGAGUCUUCCCGUGGCUUGUGGCGGGCUUCUCGCCGGUCACGACCUCCUUCUUGGCGUGAUCUCCCGACAUCACUUCGAGCGGUUAAGCUCUAAUGAAGUACCAGGCUCUGAUAUCAAUUGAAAGUCGCCUAGAGGGGGGUGAAUAGGCGGAAUCUGAAAAUUAUAAACUUAAGCACACACUACAAGUCGGGGUUAGCGUUAGAAAUAAAAUCGAGUCCGAAAGAGAGGGCGAAAACAUAUCACAAGCAAAUGAAGAGUGUGACACGGUGAUUUGUUUUACCGAGGUUCGGUUCUUGCAAACCUACUCCCCGUUGAGGUGGUCACAAAGAUCGGGUCUCUUUCAACCCUUUCCCUCUCUCAAACGGUCACUUAGACCGAGUGAGCUUCUCUUCUCAAUCAAUUGGGACACUUAGUCCCCACAAGGACCACCACACAAUUGGUGUCUUUUGCCUUGAUUACAAAUGUCUUGAGAACAAGAAAGAGGAAGAAGAAAAGCGAUCCAAGCGCAAGAACUAAAAUGAACACAAAUAUCUCUCUCUCACUAGUCAUUAAUUGUUUGGAGUGAUCUUUGGAUUUGGGAGAGGAUUUGAUCUCUUGUUUGUGUCUUAGAGUGGAGUCUAGAACUCUUGUAUUGAAUGCAAUGGCUGAAAACUUAGAUCCCUUGAAGUGUGGUGGUUGGGGGUAUUUAUAGCCCCAACCACCAAAGUGGUCGUUGGGGAUGGCUGCUGUCGACGGGCGCACCGGACAGUCCGGUGUGCCACCGGAUACUGUCCCGUGCGCUAGCCACGUCACCCAACCGUUAGGGUUCGACCGUUGGAGCUUCUGACAACUGGGCCACCGGAUAGUCCGGUGAUGCACCGGACAGUCACUGUUCACUAUCUGGUGCACCUUCUGGCGCCUGUUCUGACUCUACGCGUGCAGUCCGUACUGUUCACUGUUCACUUUUGCAGAUGACCGUUGGCGCGCUAGCCGUUGCUCCGCUGGCACACCGGACAGUCCGGUGCUACACCGGACAGUCCGGUGAAUUAUAGCGGAGAGCAAUUUCUAGAAAACCCGAAGCUGAGGAGUUCAGAGGAAUUCUCCCUGUUGCACUGGACACUGUCCGGUGGCACACCGGACAGUCCGGUGCGCCAGAACAGGGCGGCCUUCGGUUGGUUUUGCUCCUUUCUAUUUGAACCCUUACUUGGACUUUUUAUUGGUUUGUGUUGAACCUUUGGCACCUGUAGAACUUAUAAUCUGGAGCAAACUAGUUAGUUCAAAUGUUUGUGUUGGGAAAUUCAACCACCAAAAUUAUUUAAGAAAAGGUUUGACCCUAUUUCCCUUUCACUUGGCCCUUCGCUCGGCAGCGCGAGGCGGUCGUUGGCCUUGGAGCUGGCGAUCACCCAGUCAGCGCGCCAGUUUUCCCACCUCACGCCGCCAAGGAAGGAGAUGUAGGCGCCGGCCAAGUCCGGCCUCGUCUGGAAAUAGUACGCGCCGAGGUGGUCCUUGGCCUUCUCGGACUUCACCAGCACGAAGAAGUGGCGAAAGAGGGAGGUACAGGGCGCCACCCCCACGAACAUCUCGCACAGGUGGGCAAAGAUGGCCGCCUGGAGGAUGGAGUGGGGCGUGAGGUGCUGAAGCUGAAGGCCGAGCUCCUCCAGCAGCAACAAGAAAAAUGGCGAGAUCGACAACGCCAACCCGCAGGAGAGAUAGGAGACGAAGAGCACGAACUCCCCGACGGCGAGAUCGCCGAGGGGAGUGGUGCCGGCACGAAUCCUCCCAGCAAACGCCGGCGCGCCCCAUCCGAGCAGGUUGCGCACCAGGUUGAGUGCCCCCUUGGACUGGAAACGCUCGAGAUAAACCAGCGAGGCCAUGGCGACUACGGCGGCGAAAAGCAGAAGAACACGAAUGCAAAGGGGCGCAGAGGGCUCGGAGGCGAAAGGGCGCAACAGUGGGAGAGAAUGCGAAAGCGUAACUGCUGCACGCGGGGAGAAUCCCUUUUCAAGGAAUACUCCCCCGCUCGUGCCCUAGGAAAUCCCGUCCGAUGCGCACCUAGCACCCAAGCGACCCAGUCUCUGACAUGGGGGCCCAGGCCCACAAGUCAUGCAGCUGGUGUGCCGACCUCCGUGGCGAAAAAGGCGAACCGCCGUGCACGAUCGCGCACCGCCUCGGGGCUACUGUGGAGAGAUAUUUAUUAACCACGACGACAGCAACGAGGCGCCACGCGCGUUACCCGAUGGAACUCCUAGACGUGGGGCCAUGGGUCAGUCAGCCGCGGGGACAGAUGUGGCAGUUGACGUGACCGAGGGCAGACUGACAGCGCGUGCGUCACCAGAUGCGCUGAGUUAAUGCGGCACGCGCUGAGGUAGCGCCCCGAUCACCGGUCAUGCCAUGUUGACGCGAAGUACAAGUUUUGGACCCACCUGCAGGCUCGCAUCCUCCCCUGAGGUGGGCCCGGGGGCCACUGUCGGUACCCUGUAACUAGGGUACCCCUUACUACUAUGCAAAGACGCAGUGUCCACGCGGCUAUCACUUAGUCACGUGGUAGGAGUGUUGUGUGUGGGACCAAGCCACGGCUCGCCCCAGUCUCAGGCGGCUAUUCUGGGUCCACAGCAGCGCCCGACUCCACCACGUGGGCGGGUCCGAAGCCGCCACGUGUCCAAAAAGGUAAUAUGCUCCAAGGCAUCAACAGUGGUCCGAACCCCUAGGGUUGGUCCCGGACCCCCGGAUAUUCAGUUUGGACCCCAAGGUUCGUCCCGAACCUCCACGUGUGCGAGCUAGACCCCUGGAAUGGGAUCUGCCCCCCCCUGUAUGGGGUCCGGGUCUCCACAGGGGGUCCCAAGGUCCCAGGACAGUACAUACCCGGGCCUUGAACAGGACCCAGGCAGGGGUCCAGUAUCGACACGUGUCCAGUAUAGAUGGCCAACAGGCCGGCCCGGCACGACCCGGCACGGGCCCGGGGAAGCACGGCCCAUCAGCCAACGGGCCGGCCCGGGCACACGGGCUUAACGGGCCGUGCAUAGAGAGCCCACGUGCCUGGCCGUUGGCCCAGGCACGGCCCUCUGGGCCACUUUUCGUGCCGGGCCAGCCCGCUAGGCACGCUAAAAAAACGGGUCGUGCCAGCACCAGCCCGUCAGAGAUCCCAAACAGCAGAAAACAUAGAGAAAUUUAACCAAAGUUAAAAAACAGCACAAAAUAUAGACAAAUAUAAUAAAUGAGCUGUUUUGUGCAAUGCUGCCUCAUUAAAAACCUUUCUAGGUAAAACUCACCCUUGUGAGAAACCCUAGAAAGGAAAAAAGAGUGCAGUCAGCUCAAAGUUUAAUCACUAAGUUUGUAUCUGUUACAAAUGUAUAUUACAAUACAAAAUGACUCUCUCACAAUCACUCAAUGACAAAGCAGUGAAAGCACAUGUCAGAUGACCACAUCACAGUCUAGAAGACUACAACUAAGCAGCAACAUGUUCAUCUUCAUCAAGAAAUAAAUUCUGGAAUGAGUCCUCAAGCUUUGGAUUGUCAACAGCAUGUUGUUCUCUCUUUUCUCCUAAUUCCCAAUCUUUUAAGCAAGUCAGCAUCUCCACAUUCUCAGGCAAUAAGCGUCGUCGCUCCUCGAUUAUCCUCCCUGUCAAACUGAAACAAGACUCCGAAGAGACAGUAGAUACAGGAACAGACAUAAUAUCCCUUGCCAUUAUGGAUAAAACUGGAUAUGUUAGCUUGUGGUCACGCCACCAGAGAAGUAUAUCAAAAUCAUCCUCAUAAGAAGUGACAUUGUCACUGUCUAAGUAGGCUGAGAGCUCACAAAUAGCAGAUGAAGAUGAAGCAGAAGGGGUAGAGCUAGGGGGAGGACCAACAACACCUGAACUGGAAUCUCCAAAUAUUCUUCCCCAAGCUUGUUUUCUUUUACCUGUAUGAAUAGAAGGUUAAGCAGCCCUUUGAGCCCUAACUGCACCAAACUUAGUCUCAUAUUUAGUAAACAGUUUAUACAAUUCAUUUUUGACAUCAGCAUAAUAUGUACUGUACUCACACCCAGUGCACUCUCCAAGUAAAUGCAACACAUUAAAAAAACCUCUCAUCUUAGCUCUAGGGUCCAGAAUGAAUGCAUAUGAAUAUAGCAAAGGUAUGUCACUCCAGUAUUUAAGGAAUUUAAGUUGCAUUGGAAACACAAUAGUUCUAAGAUUUAAAUCUCUUUCACAUGCUUUCAAAUGAGAUGCAAUUUCCAGAAUAUGGUGAAGAACUAGUGGACUAGUUGGAUAAUAAACACCAGACAGAACAACAGUAGAGUCAUAGUACAGUUCUAGAAACUCUAAAAUCUUCUCAGCAACAUACCAAUGAUUAGGAGGCAAUAAUUGUGACUCAUAAUGUGAAUUGAUGAAGACAGAAAAAACAGUUUUGUAUGGGACCAAGUGUUUAAGCAUCAAAUAAGUAGAAUUCCAUCUAACAUCCAUAUCCAAGCCAAAUUUUCUGGGUCUAACACCCCUUGCUAAGCAGUACUCUUUAAAUGUUGCUAUUCUAGAAUUAGAAGCAUUUAAGAAAUUAAUUGCAGUUCUAAAAUCUUCCAAAAAAGGUUUCAGUCUCUUCAUUCCAGAUUUAACAAUGAGAUUAAUGAUAUGACAAGCACAACGUUGAUGCAUAAGAGUGUAGUUAGAAGAAGGAUCAGGACCCAAAUAACCAGCAAACAAAGGUGUCAAUGUAUCCAUUGCCUUUGAAUUAGAAGAAGCAUUGUCUAGAGUGAGAGAGAAAAUCUUGUCAACCAGACAAAACUCCUCAACCACAACACCAAUUCUUUCAGCAAUAUUUUGACCAGUAUGUCUAACCUCAAUAAGCCUAAGACCAAUGACCUUUUUCUGUAAUUCCCAAUCAGCAUUAACAUAAUGACAGACAACACUAAUGUAGUCCUCCUUAGCAUUAUCAGACCAAAUAUCUGAGGUUAAUGCAACCGAAGAAGUAGCAGGCAACACAGAAUUGAUAAGCACAUUACGUCGUUCAGUGAAAAGCUUCAGAAGGUCUCUAGUGGUGGUCUGUCUAGACACUUUGGUAAACCUGGGGUUAUGAGCACGGGCAAUAUAAUCCUCCCAGGCCUGUGACUCACCAAUACCUAAUGGAAGGUCAAGCCUAGCAAUCAGACGACACAACUCAGUUCGAGCAAAAAUAGGAUCAUAUUCCCAAUUGUGUAGAGAACCAUCAGGAUUGAAAGCAAGCCUAGACUGGACCCUAGCAACGUGAUCAACCUUCUUCCUACAAGCUUUCUGGUGUCUAAGCAAAUGCCCAGUACCAGCAGAAGAUCUAGCAGAUAAACGAGUCUUACACAUUCUACAAAUAGCAGCAAUUCGAACAUUGGACCCAUUCACUUUCUCAAAUACCUCAUCAAAAUCAAUCCAGACAGUAGAUUUACGCUUACCAACAGAUGAGGUACCAGUACCACCAUCGGUGCUGGUGGAGCCGACCGGAGUAUCGGUGGCCGUAGCAGGCCCUCCACCAGCGUUGGUCGGAUUAGAACUUAGAUCGACAGGAGCUGAGGUUAGAUCGAUACCGAGCAAAGCAGCAGCGUCAGCCUGGAUGUCGUCUUCGUCAUCUGGGACAAGCCCUGCCGCGCGAAGGUCGUCGUUGCCGGUGACCGGAUUGACAUCGUCAUCAUCCGCCAUGGCGACCUUCACCGCGGACGGCCGAUCUCCAGCACCGUCCCUCAACGGAGCACGCAGUCGCCGUGCCCGAUCUACCCCAGAGGAGGAAGACGAGGCAUCAGCAACUGACCUACAAAAGAGCAAAACAUUAUACAGUUAGGGUUAGGGUUUACGAAAGAUCUAGGGUUAGGGUUAGGGUUUACCUGUGCUACCGGAGCCCGAUGCCGGAGAACAUGGGGGCCACCCAGACGACACACGACAGAUAGAGACCGAUUAGAGACGACGGCGAGCUGGGGAGGGCCGGAGGGGAGGAUGAGACGACAACACGAACUCACAUAGUUCACCGAGAGAGAGGGGAUUGGAUAGGGGAGAGGGGUUAGGGUUAGAGAGGAGCUGGUGGAUCGAGGUCACCGGCGUCGGGGACGGGAGCCGAGGUCGCUGGACAGGGGCGGCGCCGCGACGGAGGCGUCGGAGGGGAAUCGCCAAUCGCCAAGUCAAUCGCCGCCGAGUCGGGAGAGAGAGGGAGCAGGGUGCGAGUGCGAAUGCGAGUGCGAGCGGAGGGACUGAGAGGUGGGCCCCAUGGGGCGAGGAGGCGAGGAGGUAAGGGCCACGGCAUCGGCUACGGGCCCCGACCGGGCUGUCCGCGUGGAGCAGGCCGUGCCGUGCCGGUCCACGUGCCUGGCCAGCAGCCCAGGCACGGCCUGCUCCACUGGGCCGUGCCAGCCCGGGCCCAUCCCAUAUGUGCCGGGCCGGGCGCGAACCGGGCCAAAAAAACGGGCCUCGGGCCGGGUUAACGGGCCCGUGCCUCAUGUACAUCUAUAGUGUCCAGGCCCGGUCUGGUGCGGACCUGUCCGCGUACACUUCUGCUCCGCGCCUAGACAGAGACCCGAUGCUGCCACGUGGCCUACAGCACGUGACGUAAGCUAGCGGGUGGAGCUUGGCGUAAGGUCUCCAGGUUACGCGGCCCCUGCAUUUAUUGCGGAUAAGGCGCGCCGCCUAACAAGUGAUGUGCCGCCUCGGCAUUUAAUGAGGCCUGUCCGCUCUGCUCUCAGGCGGCGACCUGUCCAUUCCACUGGCUAGCAGUGUGCCGCCUCAGCAUUUAAUGAGACUUGUCCAUUCCACUGGCAGGCAGCAUGCCUGUCUAUUCCAUUGGCAGGCGGCACGCCCAUGCUGCCGCAUGCACUAUAUCACUCGUACAUACCAAGGAAGCUACCGUUGUGUAUCAACACUGUGCGGGCAGCGGACAUCUGGGCGCCAGAAGAUCUCUUAGGCGUCACCGACAUUAGUUGCUCCAUGUAUUUCUUCUAUCAUGUCCCUGGGCCCACAUGUCGGGGCUCGGCAACCUUGUAUGUGCCUCCCUUGGGCUAUAAAAGGGAAGGCACACGACGUUACAAAGGGAGACUCAGGUUCACACUCACUCAGGCUCACUUAGGAGCUCUCAAGCCAACUUAGACUCUCAUACAUAGUGGAGUAGGGUUUUACGCUCCGGCGGUCUGAACCACUCUAAAUCUUUGUGUUCUCGCGUGUUCUUACACCUCCCAACUGACAGGCAAAACGCUUAGGCCCCCUCCUCAUCUUAGGAUUUAGGGUGGGUGCAUUCCGCCACCCGGCCGGAGAUUUCCUCUCCGACAGCUGCUGAAUUUACUUAUAAUAGACUUCUAUUAGCAUGCACUGAGUCGAAUAGGUGGUGGCUUGCGUAGGGAUGUCAGCGGGUUUGAAACCCACGGUCACAGUGAUUUCAAACCCGCAUCCGCGGGUUUAAUAUUAAACCUACACACAUACAUGUUAGUCACGACGGGUACAAUAUACUAUCCAUACCCGCGACCCGUGGGUAUACCCACAGGCACAUAAUUAUAUACAUAUUUUUAUAUAUAACAUCUAUAUAUACAUAUAUUUAUGCACACAUAUAAAUAAAUAUAUAUACAAAUAUGUAUAUAUAAUAUAUAUACACAUGUAUAAUUACAUAUAUACAUAUAUAAACAUACACAUAUAUAUCCCAUUGCGGGUACGCGGAUUUGCAGGCACAUGUAUAAUAUUUUCAUAUAGCGAGAAAAACCCAUCGGGGUUGAGAAUGAAACACACACUCAUACCCGUAGAUACAAACUCACACCCAAACUCGCACCCUAUAGGGUUUUUAACCGCGGGCACGUGGGUAAGAUGUGCUCGUUGCCAUCUCUAGGCUUGCAUAGGUCACGACCCAUAACAUGGUGGCCCUGAGCUCGCAUCGUCGAAGCUCUAGACGUCGUGCGGGCCGCUGCCAUCGCUGCCAAGGAAGCGUGCACCACCACUAGGGAGACGGAGAAGAAGAUCGCCAUGACUAUGAACCGUGUCGUCAUCGCUGCAUGCAAGAUGGGAUUUGCCCUCGUUCCCAUGGACAACGCCGCCACCGAGGAAGCUAACCCCUUAUCGUAUUCAGUGCCAACUGAGGUUAUUCAUGUAUUAUCUGAUGUUUGGUUUAGGCUAUUCUUUAUGGAUUUGAACAUGACAAUAGCUUAGUUUAGUUUUCCAUACACUCACACAAUUUGUCAUCUAGAACACAUAGGUUUUCAUGUUCCACAUUCUAAAAUUUAUGUGUGGUUAAUUGAAAGUGCAUCUAACCCUUCUGUGGGUUUUGGUGAUUUGGAUAACAACACUCUUAAAGGGUUCAUUAGUUUGGUAAGUGUUGAUCGGGAAAGUAGAAAAAAGCAAUCAUGAUUGAAAACAACCAAGAGACAAAGAUUGAUAUAAAAAUGUCCCAUAUAAAUGGAUUAUUCAUGAUAGAAAUGCACAAAGGAUCAGCACCAAACAACGAUAAUUAGACAUAAAAGAAUUCAAUGUACACUCAAGAGGUAUGGCUUAAUGAAAGCUUGAUCAAGUGGAGAAGCAAGUUAUUGCAGUUAGUCAAGGGACAAAUGAAACCAGAUAGAAGUCAUAUAAGAUUGAUCUUUGUUGAAGAUAGAGAUUGAAGUAAAUGAGAGGAAGUGUUAGGCCAAAAUGAAUAGGAUAUAAGGAAUUAUGAAUUGGUUUGACCAUAUUGAUGUUGGUACGUAUAUAUUUCUAUGAGGAUCACAUUGAGGCUUGAUUGAUCUUAACAUUCAUAUCUAGAUGACACUCAAACAAGGUUCACAAUAUUGAAGAAAUGAUGCUCAAUGAAAUGUGACUUGAAGACAACCCGAUAAGGUGAAGACAUGCAAGGAAAGGGCUUCGAGGGACUAAGCAAAGGUGAAGGACAAGCAUAUGGCUUGUGGACCGAGGUACCAUGGCUAAGGUGAAGAAGAGAGUACUUGCAAGAUGUCGAUGGACUAAUCAGAUUGCGAGUCAUACAGUGAUGAAGAUCACAACAUUAAAAGAUGUGAAUGGAAGUCAUCAGUUUAAUUCAUAUAUGAUGAGAUGAUUCAAAUCAUAAGACAUGAGGGUUGCUAGCUCAAUACAAGCGAAGAAGCAUGGUCACAAGUCUAGUGAAGAGGUAUCAAAGAAAGAACCUAUAAAGGCUCAUAGUUGUGCAAGACUUUGAUAGAAAUGACCAAAAAGUGAAAAACUAUAAAGAAUCAAAGUUUGGGUCAUUCCAGUGGUUAGACAUGUUCUUGGUGACCAGUACAGCAUAUUGGAAUUCAAUAACAUAAGAUGAUUACUUAGAUUUGAAGUUUCGAGUUCCAAGUGUCUAUUGGAAAAUAAGUUUGCUUUUUAUUUGAGUUCUUGAGUUUAGGAAUCAUCGUACUAUCAAGAGAGAUCCACAAAUGAGUAUUGGUACUUGCACUAAAAAACUCAAAAUCCUUGAUUCAAAACUUUUAUUUUACCCUUGUUAAUCCUUAGGGGAAGUUUGUAGACUUACAGUUCAACCUUUUCAAAGUUUAUCUUGGUUUUGUUCCAAGUUUGAGUUUUUUCUAAGGAUGCCGGUUCAACUGGGAUUAGGACUGGUUAAUCGAGAUCACUCAGGUUCCUCUCUGGAAAAUCCAUGUUCAACCGGGAUUUUGUAGAGAGCUCUCUGUUGAAUGUUGGUUCAACCGGGAUUUGCGCAGCCACCCUGUAACUGCCAGAUCUGAUUCGGGGAUGGCUAUAUAAGCCUCUCCCUCUCUCUCUAAACCCUAAGAGACUCGACCCCAGACCCAUUGACAUAUGCUCUCCUUCGAUUCAAAUUGAUUCAACUCUGAUCUCGUGCUCCAAGUCCUCCUCCCUUCGAUCGGUGGGAAGAGUCUUCGAUGUGAGAUAAGUUUUUAGAUCUCAAACAUGAUUUCAACUCUCAUUAUUUGAUUUAUCUCUCGAACUUUGGUGCAAGAACUAGUUCUUUGUGGAUUCAUUUCUCUUGGAGCUCCAAGCUCUUAGACGGCUAGGCGUCGCUUGUGAGUCUCCAAAGCUUAUGAAAGACCGCAAGAAGUUUAUAUUACCCGCUCUUUUGAGCAAUCUCUAUUAAGUGACCUCACUUGGAUCUUUGUGGUCGGUGAGGGGAGGAUUAGGGUUGAAAGAGACAUGGUUCUUUGUGGGUGCCUCGGCGAGGAAGUAAGGCACCUUGGUGGUGUGACCGAAUCUCGGGAUAAAUCUUGUGUCUAUUGUGUUCUUGAAUACUAUGAUUGUUCUUGUUCCUCACACUCACAUUACUUUGUGGAAGAUUUUCCCAUUAAUUUGUGGUGUGUAGGUUUUAGAAGAUUAUCUUUCAGAUCUACUUCCCGCAACCCUAAGGCACAUCAAGGACAUCACAUACAUAAAGUUAAUUUAUUUAGUGAUUUUAUGGAUCAAUUCAGUUUAUUUCUCUUUUCCCAUUGAACUAGUUCAGAGCGGUUGAACCGCCCCUGGUAGCGGUUGAACCGGUCUGCACCAUUUGAACUAUUUAUUCUUGGUUCGUUUCGAGUAAUUUGAGCGUCGUGAGGUCGAUUACUUGUUAGACAACAAUAUAGUGUAGAAUCUAACUUUGAGCUCUUAAUCUUUCAGAUUGUGAGGAUAAGAAAUUAUUUGUAACAUGUUAUCCAAGAGAUGAGGCGCCAAAUAACUAUGCUAAAUUGCAUGACCAAGUUGUGCUCUACUAUCCCUGAAGUAGAAGGCCACAAGAUAGGAAAGGUUAUUGACCAUCUAGACCAUAUAUGCAGAAAGCUUGAGCAGAUUGCCAUUUUUUGCCAAUAAUAUCUAGAGAACAAGAAACCAUUUGAGGACAUUGACAACGUAGAUUUUAGUGACACGUCGAAAAUUGUUGACUUAGAAGAUGGUUACAUCUCAAAAGAUGAGGAGGUGUGGAGCAUGGCGAUCUUGAAUAGGAAAUAUGAGGAGAAUGCUCAUGUUCUAUCCAUGCUUGAGCAUUGUCAUGAAAUGGGUUGAAAUUAUGAAUAGUGGUGGGAUCAUACUAUGUGAACCGGAAACACAUUAUAACAAGUGUUCCACAACAUUUUUCACUUGAACAUCACAUUACAGUGGGUUUAAUUAAUUUUGAAGUCAACAAGUUUAGUGAGGUUGAUGGUGCUAUGGUUGUUAUCUUGUGGUGUGUGGCUUCUGAAAUAAAGACGUUGUGUCUGUAACUUGUUUAUGGUGUCAUGUUGUAACUUGUUUUAGUGUAGAUGUGAAUGAUGUAAGGUUAACUUACGAUGUAAUAUGUUUUCCAGCUAUUGAGAUGAUUGUGAAGUAUGGGUCGUUGUUUGAAAUGGGUGUUGUUGGCUUGUUUUUCCAGUUGUAGGCAAAUGGGUUUCAAACUGAUGCAAAUUAUUGUCGUUGGUCUGUUACCUUACUUCUAUCAUAGUAGUUGUACACUUGUACUCCUAAGUCGACAGCAAUAUGCUGCAUUUGCCUAGUCAUAGAAAAUUCACGAUGAAUCAAACAUUGAAUCGAACAAGUGUACAUUGAAUCAAAUUAGGUUCACACAUGCAGACUGUUGUUUUACUAGUACACAAACGUCAACGAACCAGACACUGAAUCGCAGAAGGUUCCUAAUACUAAUAGAUAUUAACAUGACUAGUACACAGUCUCUAACUAGAUGUUACAUUUUCCCUUCUUGGGGAGUGGUGGUUUUCCUCCUACCACUAGAGGUACAACUACACUUAUCAUCCAAUACAACCACCUUCACAUAUAUACAACAACAUUCAAUUGUGAUAAUGAAACAAACAGAACAAACUCUCGGAAAUGAUUGAACAAAAUAACAUACCACAAUAGCAGACAACCCUUUCUUCUUCUCCCAAGCAUAGAUCCUCCAAAGGCAAUCACCACCCUUACAAUAACCUAUGUAUCUAGUUGCUGAAGUAACGUCAAUGCCUGACUCAAACUCAUGCUUUAUGUCAUAUUGUCUCAUAACAAUUUUGAACUCCCUCAUGUUAGGAAAUAAGCUGUCUGGCUACAUUGCAGGAUUCAUUCUGUCAUACAUUACCCUUCUCUCAUCUAGUAGGUAGUCUUUACAUGGUUGGUCUGCAAGGUAAUCAAAAACCAUAUUUCCACACUAUCUUCCACAUUCCGUGUACCACAUGUACAUGCUUCAUCUCUUCUUUUUUUGCUCGGCUUCGUCCUCAUUCAUCAAUCCAAGUCCAUAGUACAUCUCAUGUUCAUGUGACAUGUCAUGUCUUCCUUCCUCAAUCAUCUGAUAAUAUCAUAGCAUCCCAAUCAACUUGUUGUGUUGCAACAAACAAAUAAUUGUCCUACAAAUUGAAGCAUCCUAGAUCGGGUUAACUGUGCACAUACAUCGUACAACGGAAUACAAAUUAUGACAUCACCAACAACAUAGAUCCACCAAACAAAUUAAGCAUUCAACGAAGUAACUGAUCAUAAUAUGUUGCCGAACUUAGUGAUGACCUGAGUACCAAUGAAGGGCACAACAACUAAUGAUGACACAAAAGCAGUGUUCAACCUCGGUGGGCUUGGUGAACCUCCUUUUCGACUUCUCAUUUGGGAAUUUCCCCGAUCUGGGAGAUAACGAGGUGAGUCACGGUGGCCCACCAAAAUCGUUGGAUUGUGGAGGAGUGUCGUCCAUGGUGGCGGGAGAUCUGUUGGUGGUGGCUAUGGAUCCAGGCUCGACCGAGGGCCUGAGAGCGCUCCUCGACGCAGAGGGGAGGAGGACAAGGAGGGGAGGAGCGACAUACUCACAUUGUGUACCCCUUGCCAUCGGUUUGCACCAUGUCAAGGUCUAAUCACCGAUAUAAGUCGCGCGAUGCUUAACCUUUUCCAUUCAUCACGUUUCCUUUUUUGUUUCGUUUCUAAGGUGGUAGAUGACACAAUUGUGAUUCCAUUUCAGUAGAGCCAACCCUGUCAGCUUCCAUAAUUGCAAAAAUCUGGUCGAGACGCCAUAUAAGGCCUUAUUUGUUCGGGUUACUUCUACGCCAUAUGGAUUAGAUAUGAUUGAUAAAAACAGUAGAGAUUUUGAUUUGCUAUAGAUUUAAAUCUACUCAUUCUCAUUCAGGUCUUGUUCGGUUAUUGAUAUUCCAUAUGGAUUGAAGUGUAUUGGGUGAGAUUGAGAUGGAUUUUGACCAACUUUUUUGGAUUUUAGCCCUUUUUGGGUUUUUUUUGCACAACUAUACCCUUUACAAUUUCAUUUCAAAAAAAUGGACCCUAACCUCGGCGCCAUCAUCAUUGGCGCCGAGGUAACACACAUCGACGCCAGUACCAUUGGCGCCAACUUUUCCUACGUGGCAGCCGAUGUGGCAAGUCCCAGGGGGUCGGCGCCAUAGAUCUUGGCGCCGACCCCCCUUGACGGUGGGGUCCGGUGCUAUUCAGGGGGGUCGGCGCCAAGAUCUAUGACGCCGACCCCCUGAGACUUGCCACAUCGACUGCCACGUAGGAAAAGUUGGCGCCAAUUAUGUUGGCGCCACUAUGUGUUACCUCGGCGCCAAUGAUGACGACGCCGAGGUAAGGGUCCAUUUUUUGAAAUGAAACUACAAAGGGCAUAAUUGUGCAAAAGAAACCCCAAAAGGACUAAAAUGCAAAAAAGCUGGGGAUUUUGACUUGCUAUGGAUUUCCGACUCAAUCCCACCCAAUCCACGUGGAUUAACGCAAAAACGAACUAGCCCUCACGUGGAUUCAGUGGAUUCAGAUGAAAACAAACGUGCCCUGAGUUUGAUUGGUGUGGAAUAUCUGGUAUCUGAAAAAUAAAUAAAAUAAAAUAAAUUGGAGAAAAAGAGAACAACCGAGCAAGUCCGUCAGACAUAAACAAUUCGUGUGACUGAGGCCCGUCACAUGUGGAGGUCAAAUCCACGUGUUUGCGUGGAAUUGCGAUAGUCGCACAGAGCACUUUUGCUAAAUCGCUAGUUCGUUUCCUAAACCCUAGCAAAGUAGGAAUGGCGUCGGCGAGCAUGCUCGCGCGCUCCCUUCUCCGCACCCCAGACCCUACCCAAACGAGCCACCCGAACCGCCGGAGCGCCGCUGUCGUCUCCUUCCCCCGCCGCCACCGCCGCCUGUCCGUGCGCGCCUCCGUCUCCACGGCCUCCCCUUCCCCACCGCCACAGCCCGCGGCGGCGGCUGCCGGCGUGCCGAAGCACUGCUUCCGGCGCGGGGCCGAUGGCUACCUGUACUGCGAGGGAGUGCGGGUGGAGGACGCGAUGACGGCUGCCGAGCGCAGCCCCUUCUACCUCUACAGCAAGCCACAGAUCCUCCGCAACUUCGCCGCCUACCGCGAUGCUCUCCAGGGGCUCCGCUCCAUCAUCGGGUAUGCCGUGAAGGCCAACAACAACCUCCCCGUGCUACGCGUCCUGCGUGAGCUUGGCUGCGGCGCCGUCCUCGUCAGCGGCAACGAGCUCCGACUCGCCCUCCAGGCGGGAUUCGACCCCGCCAGGUGCGGUUCUUGUUCCAAUUUUUUUUUCCUGGGAUGGACCGGUGUCAUUGAGCAAAUGUGUCUGCACUUGCCGGUGGAAGAAUACUUUUCUGCUGUUGUUCAUUGCUUUAAUUUCGGAUGGAUGAGAAUAAAUUAUGUUGCAUUUGCUGCUGCUGCUGAUGAAGGCCGUGUCUGUAUAUCUGGUAUGGAUAGCAGUAAUGUUAGGUUAUUUUAGCGAGAACACAAACUGCAGUAGCCACUGUAAUACGUUAUCAUGUUAAAAAUUUCGAAUCUUCAUUUCAGAGGUCAGGGAUGAUUAUUAGUUGGAUAAGCAUCAUGUUAUCAGGUUGAUAUGGAUACAUUAUUAUUUUAGGGUAUUUACCCCCCAAAAAAACCCAUAUGCAGAUAUGAUUUUAGUAUUUUUGUAAUAAAAAAUAACAAUGCAGAUUAAAAUUCAGGAAGCAUUGAAAUUGCCUCACUCAUUUCUGAUUUCUUCAACUUCAAGACUCAAAGUCCAAAGUUGCAGACAAAAACCAAAUAUGAACGCAUCACAAUAUAAGUCUCAAUGUCUUAUCCUUGUUGUAUUUAAAUGGUGGUGGAAUGGAGGACUGAAGUAUACCUUAAUCUUCACUGUCAGCAAACAUUUUCAGGAGAUAUCCAGAAGAUAGCAGCAGGACAAUGCAAUGUAGCUACCAGCAACAGUAACAUGUCAAAUUCCAACUUCUAUGACAGAACAGAAGUAUACAAUUAACAAAUAUAUACAACAAGACAUGCAAACAAGUCUCACACCUCAAAUAACAAAUCACUGAAUAAGAAUUCACAACUAGACAUGCAUAAGUUCAACGUAGGAAGAUAGCAGUACCUAAGUUGUAUUACACAACAAACAUAGCCUCAAACGUAUUAAAUUAUAAAGGGCACUGCAGGUCGUCUAGCUGAGCUGGUUAGGUGGUUUGAAUAGCACUCCUCAAGUCCCGAGUUCGAAUUCUAGUGGGAGUGAAUUUCAGGCUGAGGUUAAAAAAGGUCACUCGCUGGUUCCCCUGGUUGUGUGCACAUGAGAUGGACUGACCUAUAGGGGGUGGAUCCUCGUAUAGGGGCUAGGAGGGCUUAAAACACGAGUAAAGAUCUGGCCUAUAGGGGGUGGACCCUCAUGCUGCACAGGGGACCAGCUUUCGUGACCUUUCUCGGCUGGGGCUCCGAUUGAGCUUCUUCUUAAUAUAAUAACCGGGGGGGGGGGGGGUCUUUCCCCUACCGGCCGAGUUUUGUAAAGGUUUCAAGCGUGUUACAUGGACUUCAAGCCCAAAAGCGAAAAAACCACAUGAUGGUAUUAUUGGCUAUUGCAGAUGCUGUUGUUUUAAUCUAAUCAAGAAUUUUUUAGCUUGCCAUUGGUUUUGACAACCCUUAGCUGCAUAGCUCAUUGUUUCCAGUUGAUGACAUUUUUUCUGAAUAGAAAGUAACUAUAUUCAGUUUAUAUUUUGAAGAUCAGGUGCAUAUUUAACGGAAAUGGGAAGACACUCGAACAUCUUAAAUUAGCUGCUGAGAGUGGAGUAUUUGUAAAUGUGGAUAGCGAAUUUGAUUUGGAGAAUAUUGUCAGAGCUGCAAGAGCUACUGGAAAGAAAGUGCCUGUUUUGCUUCGAAUAAAUCCAGAUGUGGAUCCGCAGGUAUGGUUAUCCUCUAGUACUCCCCAAUGCACAUGUGCAUGUGCACACAAAUAGCCAAUGAGAGUAUUUGGUUUAUUUAAUUGCGAGAAAUAAACUUUUUUCAACAGGUACAUCCUUAUGUUGCCACGGGAAAUAAAACGUCUAAAUUUGGGAUCCGCAAUGAGAAAUUGCAAUGGUUUUUGGACUCUAUCAAGUCAUACCCGAAUGAAAUCAAACUCGUUGGUGUUCAUUGCCAUCUGGGAUCUACUAUUACAAAGGUAAUGUCUUGUUCUCCUUAUAGUAUUAUUUUAAUAUCACUAUAGUUUUAUGUGCAUAAUUUGUUGAACUGAGCUUGCCCACAAUUGUUCUUCUUUCUUCUUAAUGCAAUGAUACACAGUUCUCUUGCAUAUUCGUCUAUUUGAGGAAAUAAAAAGCUUUCAUGCAGUGGUAAAUUGUACAUUUUUCCUGCCUAAUGGGUGACAUCUUGUGUUGGGUGAACAGUCACUUUGUUGCAACCAGUUAAAUGUUUGCUGUUCCAGUAAACAAUGAACAUGCUGCACUAUGUCAUCUGAUGAUCUGAUAGUCAGUGAAUGCACCCUGUUUUAGUAUCAUUGCCUGACACCAUUUACCACAGGUAAAGAUUAGAAAAUAUUGUUAUUAUUAAGAUUAUUUGUUUGGUUCAUGACCACAACUUGCCACACCACAGGCUAGUUAUGCCACAGGUUUUUUUGGCAGCUGUUUGGUCCACUUCCACAACUAUGGUGCACUACAAUUUCUUAGCACACUGUCCCACAGAUCUUAGACCCAUCUUUCUGCCAAACCUUGACACAAUUGUGGCUUCGAUUUUGCUCACCACACUUUAUGUGGCAGCCACAGUUUGCCGAAGGUUAGGCGUGGCAAACUACAGCACCAACCAAACAGGCCUCAUAUUUCAUACCUGAAGUACCCUAUAGAACCUGUCUUGUAAGGUCUAACUAGUGGCCCACACCAUUGACAAGGAUAAAAAACUUGACCUGUAGGGGGGAGCCCCCGAGCAUCAUAUAUAGAGAAGACAUUCUCAUGCAGGUCAAGAAAACCUUGGAACCUCUACCCCACUCAUACACAAUGGCAUUGUAGCCCAUGCGAGAACGACCACGAUUGGGGCCUGUCCUUAGACUGUGCUUUUAUGUGGGACAAACAAGGGGAUUUUUAACCCCAGUUUGAAAUUCGGAACCACGGGGAGUCGAACUCAACAUUUGAGGAGUGCUACUCAUACAGAUCACCUAAGCAACUUAGCUAGAGGCCCUUUCGCAUCGACAGGGAUAGAUGGCUGCCCAUUUCUAAUAUAUGACUAUAAUAUAUGAUUAUAGUGUCAUGCCCAAUUGAUACUUUAUCUCAGAACAAUUAUUCUUUACUUAAAAACUAGGAAGCACUAGUAUUUUACUCCCUCCAGACCACAUUUACACCUUGCUCUCUUUUACUGUUCCAUGUCGAGAUGCCAAGUUUUGUUAACUCCAGAUUAUUGAAGUUGAAGGGCAGGUCAGGUGCAGUGGUGGGAGCUGUCUCACUAAGUCACCAGGUCGCGGGUUUAAAGCAGCCUCUCCGCAUUUGUAGGGGAAGGCUUGCCUCGGUUGAUCCCUUCCGCGGACCCCACUCAUGUGGGAGCCUCCGACACAGGGUCUGCCCCCAGAUUAUUGAAGAAUCUAUUGUCUUAUAGCGAAGUCCAAGAUUUUUGGAAUGCAAAGUUCUUCCAUGGCUUAGAUAGUGUAUUUUGCAUGAACUAUCGUGUUCAAUGUGAGGCAAUCAUGGAAUUUGCAGCAUGUGCGCACUGCAGAGAUAAGAUGUGACGCGUUAUUAGUAUAUGAAUAUAAAAAUGAGCCUGCUUUUUGUUAGUAUGCUGAGCAUGACCAUGUAAAUGGCUCAACUUUUUUAAAAUUAAGAUCAUAGUUAUUAAGGCGGUAAGGCGAGCGCCCCCCCUUUUACCUUUCAAGUGGUAAGGCGAGGCGACACCUUAAUUAUAUAUAUAAAAAUAUAUAAAAUUAGACCAAAUAUUAUUUAUAUUUCACUAAUUCAAAGGUAAUAAGCAAGUUAGCAUACCUAUAAGACCUAGUAGGCCCAUUUUAGCCUAGUAAAAGAGAGAAAUAGAAAAAAGAAAAAAGCCCACUAGUCAACCUAGUCUAGCCCAACAGUUUUAGGGUUACCUCACCCAACACCCCUCAGUUCUCCCUCUCCCUCCCCACGUCUCUCCUUCUCCCUGCUCGCCGCCACCGCCACGACCUGCGCACCUCAGCCGCCGCGCCCUGCACGCUGCCGCCAGCGGGACCUGCGCACAGCUGCCGCCAUGAUUUGUGCGCCUCAGCCACCAUGUCCUGCCGCCGGCGGGACCUGUGCGCCACCAUCGCCGCGCUCUGCGCGCGGUUGCUGCCUCUUCCCCGCGCACCGCCUCAGCCUUUUCCCCACGCCUUACACUCACGGUAAGGCGACCACGACGCCUUGCCCUCCAGCCUCGCCUUACCGCUUUAGCGACGCUAAGCAUGAUUAAGAUGCAUAUUUGACUGGAUCAAGAGGUAGACCCUUCCAUGUAUUACCCAUACACAUUAUAGUAAACAUCGUUUCAAUUAUUUUGCUUAAAGUGAUCUAAUACUGGUUAGGGCUUUUAUCCUUUCGCCAUAGAGUCCCAAAUUUUUUUUAGUAAAUACCCAUGCAGAAAAUUUACAUUCUCAAUACCCAUCUGUGCUUACAUGGCUAUGUUCUUUGCAGAAUACCUGUUUCCUUCUUAAUAGAUUUAUCUAAAGUGUUCUUCAUUUUUAGGUUGAUAUAUUCAGAGAUGCUGCAGUUCUUAUGCUGAAUUAUGUCGAUGAAAUUCGAGCACAAGGUUUUAAGUUGGAGUACCUGAAUAUCGGAGGUGGUUUGGGAAUAGAUUACCAUCAUACCGAUGCAGUCUUACCUACACCUAUGGAUCUCAUCAACACUGUAAGCUCAACAUUCUUACCAUGUUUCUGACUCAUAUCUUUGCAGGCGCACAUGCAUCUUUAAAAUACCAGUUUUCCUUAAUGUGAUAUGGAAAGUUGGCUUAUGCUGAGCUUGAUUCAUCAUGCUUGUUCUAUUUAUUUUGUUGCAGGUGCGAGAAUUAGUUCUCUCUCAAGAUCUCACUCUUAUUAUUGAACCCGGAAGAUCCUUGAUUGCUAAUACUUGCUGCUUCGUCAAUAGAGUAACUGGUGUUAAAUCUAAUGGUACAAAGAAUUUCAUUGUUGUUGAUGGCAGCAUGGCAGAACUCAUCAGACCUAGUCUGUAUGGAGCAUACCAGGUUUGUUUUAUUGUUUAGAGAUUUAAUCAAUGACAAUGAGUGUUACUACUAUGUUCUUCUGGUUGUUUAUUUUCCAUCUCUAGAACCAUAAUGAUUCCAAGCGGUAGUUUUUGUUGUGUAUCCAAGAUGGUAACCACUUCGGUGUGGUGAUAGUCUUGAAAAAGUAGAUUACUUCAAUACAUGGAAAUUUUGAAUAUUGCCUCUAACAGUUUUAAAUGCUAUUUUUACAACCAUAUAUGGGUAAUUUACUGGUGAAGGCUCAGAUUUUUUUUAAAAAACUCGACCUGCGAGGGUAAGACAGCCCCCAGGCAUUAUAUUAAGAAGAUCUUCUCACGCAGGUCGAGAGAACUCUUGAACCCCUGCCCCAACCAUACAAAGCGACACCAUAGCCCAUGUGAGAAACCGUGACCGGGGGCCUUAGAUCUGUGCUUUGGCGUGGGACAGACAAGGGGGAUUUUUUUAACCACAACCUGAAAUUCGCUUCCACGGGAGUCGAACCUAGGACCUGAGGAGUGCUACUCAGACCACCUAACCAACUCAGCUAGAGGCCCUUACGCAAGGCUCAGAAAUUUCAACUACACAUAUAUGUUCUCAGCACACCUAGACACCACACAGUAGAGUAAAUAUUUAGGCAAUGUGCCGAGAGUAGAGGAUCUAGUCUUAGUUUUGGAAUGAUACAAUACUGCUACAUCUUAUUCUUGCCAUUGAUUUAUUUUGUGAUUGUUUUUACUUCUUUCCACUGCUGAUUCUCUUAUAGUCGGACACUUAGUCAGCUAUGUGUUACUCAGUGAUUGCAGCAACUUAAUGAAUUAUUAUGAUUGAAACAACUUAAUGAAGCACUACGAUUGCAGCAACUUGAUGAAGCACUAUGGUUGAAACAACUUAAUGAAGCACUAUGAUUGGAGCAACUUGAUGAAAAAUGUGUUUAGGUUUCAGUUUCCUUGAAAUGCAUAGAAAAUCAUGUUAACUGCAUAAACAAAAAUGUCAUACAAAGAAAGUUAUUUCAGCUCUUGAAUAUUGUUACUCAUGUGGCAGCAUAUCGAACUGGUCUCUCCCCCCACUCCUGGUGCUGAAGCAGCGACCUUCGAUAUUGUUGGACCAGUUUGUGAGUCUGCAGAUUUCCUUGGAAAAGAUAGGGAACUUCCAACACCUGAUGAGGUCUCUUUCAAAGCCAUUAUAUUUUAUUUGAUGAUUAGGCCUUCUAUGUUUCUUUCUGACAUGUUGUCCUUGUAGGGAGCUGGACUGGUUGUUCAUGAUGCAGGUGCCUACUGCAUGAGCAUGGCUUCCACCUACAACCUGAAGUUGAGGCCACCGGAAUACUGGGUACACACUACAACACACAUUUGCUGCCCAGUGGGGACGGGCACCCUCAUUAGCUAAAAUAUCAUGUUGCAAUAUAUAAAAAAAUCAUCACAAAAAAUCAUGCAUGUAGUACUCAUAAAGUAUAGUUGCAACAAUUCAGUUUGAUAAACAAGCUGUCAACCUGGCACUAUUCAUCAAGUGCUGAUAGUGACACUUGUAUUUUUUUAAUCUGAACAUCAAAGAUGAAUUUCGAAAUUAAUUGUUUUAGCUAAACUUAACUUUAGAUACUAUAUACAUGAUUUUUUGUGUUCUUUUUUGAAACAUUGUGUUGGACACUUGUUUUCAGUUGCUACAUGGCAUCAAAAACAAGAACAAGGCAACACACGUUAAGAAAUUUGAACCUUGGUCCUUAAGUUACCACUUCUUCGAAAUGUUAGCUUGAGGACGAAGGUCUUUAAAUGGAGAUAUGAAUAAAACAGUACCAGACAAAAUGAUAAUGGGAAAACAAAGUAUGAAACUCAUCUCCUGAGCCUUAGCAUUAUUUAUUUCAUCAUUCUUUGUAUUACAUAAGUUUACAAACAUAUCUUCGGCUUCUUUGCAUAAGAUAGCUUGAAGGUAUUUCGAAGACCAAGUGAAAUGAAGUUUAUAGCCCUCCAAAAGGUGAAUUUAUGCAGGGCACUGUUCAUCUAUUUAUAGUCGCGGGGUACAACUUUGAUGAAAUUAAAAUUCACACCCUAAAACCUAUAUAUUCGAGCUAUACUGCACAACGAGGGCGAAGUUGUCUUUUUUCCUUCAUCGCUUUUGUGAGAACUUCAGCUUCGUCAUGCUUCGUAUUUUAUCCAUUGUUCCUUCACGGUACUCAAGGUACUUGUAAUACUUAGAGAUAUACUAGAAAACAAUCAUUAUCUUGGUGUUUCGAGGACCUUCGUAAAUAAUAAGGCCCCCAACACAUUGCAACAUGAUAUUUUAGUUAAAGAGGGCGACAGCCUCCCUGGUGGGCAUACUGCCACCUACAUUCCCUUUUUUCUCGUGAUUAUUUUGUAGGAAAAAUGGAAAAAGCCACUGCAAGCUAGGGAAUAUCAGUUACUUUUACUUACUUGGAUCUAGCUUCCUUAGAGCAACUAUAGCAGUUUUGGGGGUUGAUUCUAAGAAAUAAAGUCCAGCAGGGCCGCAACCCCCACUGAUCCCGACUCUCCACUGCCACCAUGUUUUCUUGCAUCGCUCUUGCCCUAACCCCUACUUGACCUGUGGAAAAUGGGGCUAAGGGCAAUUGCUGGUGCCUCUAAAGUUUGAGUGCAUGAGUUGGGCCUGUUUAACUUACCUUUUUUUUUUGCCUAAGGCCUCAGAUGUAGAGUUGGAACUGUUAAGAGCGAUGGAGGUGCUCAAACUCGCUUGAAAUUCCCUGCACUCCAUCUCCCCUUGAUUCCACACCAUGCUGCACAGCCUGCACCCUGUCGCUCCUGAUCCUUACUUACCAGCCUACUGCUGUGCCUCGUCCCCUUUGCCUGCCCCAUAAUGUCGCAGAUGGAUACCUGUCUAUGUAUAGGAGCUCGGUUCUUAUGACACUAUGGUUUAACGAUUGUUGCUGAGAAAAGGAGGCCAAGCAGACAAAUUUGGGAGAUGGUGUUUUUAAGAGGGGUGGGGGUGGGUGGGGGUUGAGGGGCGCCCUACUGCUGGCAGCUUAGAGGAAUCAAGCCUGACAUGGCCUGAGGUGCCGUAGAACAUGGAAAUCAAGAAUGCGAAGGGGAUCAUGUAGAGGACUAGAGGAGCUUGACAACCGGUCUUUGGGGCUCUAGAAUAAGGGCUAAAUUGCUCUUAUUGUCUUACAACCUGCCCAUUUAAUGUGUUUCCGAUUACCCCCUGUAACUAUUGCCAACCAAUGUUUUCUUAGAGUUGCGCAUGUUAACAAUCGAGACCAACUUGAAUAUGAAAACACAUAAAGCUUGCAUGUGGUAGACUGUAACCGUGUGGAAUUGAGACUUUGGGGAUGCCCCCGUUCCCCAUUUGUUGCCUCUCGUCUUUUUAUCAGUUUUCUUCAUUGGUCAUUUAACCAAUAUGGUUUAUUGUCCCCUUUGCAGGUGGAAGCGGACGGUUCGAUCGUUAAGAUCAGGCAUGGAGAGAAGCUUGAUGACUACAUGAAGUUCUUUGAUGGUCUUCCUGCUUAGAUGUUUAUUAUCUGCGACUGCUACGGACGAUGUUUUCUUGGGGAUAAUUGGAUUUUCUUUGUCAAGCUCAUUUUUGCUUUCUUGUGGUUAUGUAAUGUUACUGGAUACUGGAUAGCUAGUUGGUGCAUCCUCAACUUCCUUUUCAUUUCUGUUAGUUUCGUCACCAAGUUCGUCCUCAAUUGCUAUUUGGUUGUAACCCAGCUGUAGGAUGCCUGGCUAGCCUGUAACCGCCUGAGCGUGAUUUGGUUGGGAACUGACGGUUUCACCUGGUGAGACAUGCCUGCGAACCAAAUCUGUCCCCUGGGCUGCCGUAUGUGUGAUACCAAAAUCUGUUGUAGCCUUGUAGGUUUACUAUUGCUGUGAUAAUCUGUUGCAGGUUUACUAUUGCUGUGAUAAUCUGUUGUAGGUUUACUAUUGCUGCAUAUAGUAUAAUGAUGUCUUUGUAUUUUUUUUUCGUAAAAAAUCGAAUAAACGGUUUGGUCAAAUUUAGUAAAAAGUCAAAACAAUUAUAAAUCGGAACGAAAGUAGUAUUUAUCAAGGUAACAGGCUCCAUCGUCGGUAUAAAUGGAGUAGCAGUAAAAGACAGAUUUGUUUUGGAUUAAAGACGGUUGUUUGAAUGUAGCUCUAAUACAUAGAGAUAAAACACUCUUUGGAUUAAAGCGGAUGAAGCUCUAAUAUAUAGAGAUAAAACACUAUAGAAUAAAUAUUUGUUUUAGAUUAAAGACAGUUGUUUGAAUGUCUCUGUAAUACAUAGAGAUAAAACACUCUUUGGAAAGUCGUCCAGUCUAGGAGCACCUCUUAGAUUUAGAUUUGUCGAACGUGAACAUGAAUGGUAGACUGAACACCCAUAUAAUCUCGAUUUGACAGAGCAACACCUUGAAUGAAAUCAAAAUACUAAACAGAGUGGGUUACCGGCUCUACGACCCCAUUCCCGGGCACUACUAUAGAGCUCUUUGGGCCUUGCAUCUUUCUUUCGUCGUUUCGCACAUAGAUACAAAUGUACUCUCUAGUAUAAACUAUAAAAACACUCUUUGGAUUAAAGCGGAUGAAGCUCUAAUAUAUAGAGAUAAAACACUGUAGAAUAAAAAGUAGAAAUCGGUAUGAAUUAAAGGCAAACACUAGAAGAAAUGGUAGAAACCGGUAUGAAUUAAAUUCAAAUGAACCUUUUUUUCCAUUGUAAAACGGAUUCGUUUGCAAGCUUUGUGUUUUCUGGUUAAUAUAAAUAUUGAUUGAUAAAGGCUUUAAAGCUAUGAUUUAAUUUAAUCCUGGUGCGUGAAGAGCCACGCAGUAGGCUUCAGAGCCACAAGCAACGCAACUGUAUUGUUUUUCAAAAACGCGAAUGAACGAAAAAAAGAUGAACAGGGAGGGAGAGAGGAAAAAGAUGAACAGGACAGGACCUCGUCGCUAAAACCCCAGCGCAGCGGCGCGGGAGCAGAUGCACCUUGCCCUUCUCAUCUCCCGCAUUCGCCUCUUGCCGACCGCCAUGCCCAGCACCCGUUCCGCCUCCGCCUCCAGGCUGCUGGUCCGCGCUGACAACAGCCCAGGUGAAGUGAAAGCCCGCUUUUCUGCCCCUUUCGUCUCCGCGUAUCUUUCUCCCCUUUUUAGUGCUCCUUUGCUAAGUAGCAAGUUCCGCUCUGCCUUGUUGUGCUAUUUACUUCACCAGUUGCUCCAGAGGAUCAAAUUUCGUUGUACUACUAAUGUCAGGUGGUGAAUGCCUUCAUGAUGCCCCACACUAACUGAUCAUCUGCUGUAUGCAUGGCCAAGAUACACGGAUUUAGUUUGACGAGAACAGAAUUUCCGCUCGCUACCAUUUCUUUUGUCUCUGCGGAUUGAACGAGACGAGUGGGAGUGUAGGACCGACGCUUCUGAGUUCAACUUUUUAGAAUUUUGUUCCAACUUCAAUUGUGAACUUAAUCUCCCUACUCUGUUAAGAAACCCCCGUCCUGAGUAUCAGUAGAUCAGUACCUAUGCCUGACAUUUUCCUCCCAACAUUUUUGGUAUACUUUUCAUUCUUUUUUGUCAAUAAAGUACAAGUUUCAUGCCUUUUCAGUUGCACGAGAAAUCAAACGUGAAUCCAGUGUUUCUUUGGACACUCCCAAGCCCGAAGCAACUGUCUCUGUUAAGCGGAGAAGGGUGAAGCGAGAACUUGAAGUAAAUGGGCAGCAUCAUAAGAAGCAGGUGCCUGCUGACUGAACAGAAUGGCUUUUUUAUGAACAGAAGCAAGUUCCAUGUGUUUCUCAUUUUUUUUCCUUUCCUUACGCUCUGUACCCUUGAUUUAAACUGCUUGCUUAUUGAACCCUUGCUCUUUGGUGUAGUGCAGCGAGUGUUUCUUUUGUAUCUAGCUACAUUUAUUCACUCAUGGUACCUUAGUACUUGGUUUUAUGCUUUCCUUAAUACAAAAAUUUCCUAUUCAUAUGCAGGUCCCUGACAUUGAGGAUUUUAUAUACGAAAAGGCCAAAACAUUGACAUCGUCAAGUAAGGCAACAACAUCUUUGGGUAAGAACCGCUGGUGCCGAUCAGAUAAUCUUUUUCAGUUUCCUAUUUAGCCAGAUGUUUCAUAACCAGUGUGCAAGUAUCUUUCACCUGGAUAAUCUGCUAGCAAGUCUCUAUGUGCCAUAUUACAAUCUUGUUCACGUUUCUGCCAUGUCUUGUAAAAAAAACUAACACUUCCCUUCUUCAGUCAAGGUGGAGAAAAAGGUUGGAGUUUCUUCAGUUAUAAAAGGUAUGCAUAAAUCGGAAGGCUACUUGAAGAGAUAAGUUAUUGCAUAUACGUUUACCAUGCUGCUUUUGUUGUUAUGCCAUGUUUCGUUUUUUUUUGCAAGCCUAUACCUAUUGACGUCAGCAAUGCUUCAUUUAAGUUUUGGGCUUUGUGUUACUAACUUACUACUAAGAUGAAGUCACUGGAUUGGAACUUUUUUUCUGCUAGCAUGUGAUCAAUCUUGCCACAACCACAAGUGGGAUCUUACAUGGUCAGGAUAUGCUGUGGCAUUUUCAGUUUCCCAUACAUAACUAUCAUUUGUAAGCUCAUUUUUUUUAAUUAUGUUUGAAAUUAGAUUGCAUGGAAAACAGCUAUACACGUGCCUAAAUCUUGACUUGUGGCUUCUGUUGUAAUUCUAGCCUACCCCAACUUGUUUGGGACCAAAAGACUUUGUUGUUGUUGCUGUUGUUUGGAAUUAGAUUGCAUUGUUCUUGGUUCCUCUAAUUGUAAUGGUAGCCAAAAAGCCUUAGCGCAGUGGUAAAACUGCUGCCCUGUGACUAGGUGGUCACUGGUUCGAGUCAUGAAAACCGCCUCUUCUCUUGCAAAUGCACGAAAAGACUGAGUACUAUAAACACAAACUGGUCCGACCCUUCCCCGGACCCGCGCAAGUGGGAGCACAUGCACCGCGCUGCCCUUUUUUUAAUGUUAGCCAAAAAGACGGGCUCAUUAUAGUCACUGAUUAAAAACUUAUAUGAAUCUUAGUUCUUCAUUCUGCACAUCUGUGCAUUUUUUCAACCUAAAUUCUUCACUGUUGCACCAUGAAAAAUAAGUGCAUUAGGUCCAGGUUUGUUGACUUCUUAUUAAGCAUUCAUAUCUUUCAUUUGAUUGGUAUCUUUCUUAUGUCCAUGUACGAUAAGAAACCCAAAGUAGUCAUUUGCGCAGUUGGAGCUCCAGAUAACUGGGAGGCAGUUCUUGGAGGCAUUAAAAGCAUGAGGUUAUCUGGUGAAGCCCCCGUAGAUACGAAGGGCUGUGAAAAAGCUGGUUCUCUCCUUCCACCCAAGGUAGUUUUUGCCACAAAAUAGUCUUUUCACCUUUACAAUUUUAUGUUAGAGCCUUGUUGGUAUGACCUGUUCCAAGUUUAGUUCCUACCGUUGCCAUUUAAAAAGGAAAUAUAAAGAGAAAAAGGCGGAGCUCUUUGGUUGGCCUUACAUAGGUGGCUUCGGGGUUAUGCAACUCACCUAGUUGGCUAAUUUCCUUGUGUUGUAUUACAAUAUGAAAAUGAUGUUUGUAUUUUCCUGUGUAGAGUCUAGAAAUAAAACAAUCUGUACAUUAAUUUUGUGCCAAAUUGAUUGGAAAUUUUCCACAUUUGUGUCUCUUCACUUAUUUGCUGCUUUAUAAUACUUAUGCCUUUUUUCUCUGGAAAUAAUUGUGCGUUUGGGUUCUGUUUAUAAAGAGUUUAGGUCCAGUUGUAAUCAAUACUUCUCUUCCUAUUCCUGGACAGGAAAGAAGAUUUGCAGUUCUGAUAUCAACUAUGAUGUCAAGCCAGACAAAAGAUGAAGUUACACAUGGUAUGUCUUCAAAAUUUCCUCUGUCCAGAAUUGGUUAUGCCUUCUUGUUGAGAAUUCUCCAACCACUGAAGUAUCUAUUGUUACUUUGGAAACUCAAGAGUUUUUUUGUUCUGUCAUAUGAAAUUCAGGAAAAAUUAGCCUUGUCAUGAGAUUCGCUGAUGUGUUUGUACUAAAUAGUUGUCCUUUAGAAAUUUGCUGAUUGCAUUUUGGAGUCAAUUCUUUUCAGCUGCUGUGGAACGCCUCUCUGAAAACGGUUUACUUGAUCCGGAUGCUAUAGUGAGGACUGAUGAGACCACGCUUGCGAAUCUUAUCAAACCUGUAAGUUGCAAAGGUUUGCACUCUAUUAGGAUAUGCUUACAUUGUUCUUAAGUUAAUAAUUACUGGACUGUACGCACCAAAAAAAGAAGGGCAGGUCUGGUGCAGUGGUGGGAGUUGUUUUAUUGAGUCACCAGAUCAUGGGUUCGAAGCAGCCUCCCCUUUUAUGUACCCAAAAAAAAUGAACUUAGAAGCAUGAAAAUGUAAAUUCACGUUUGCUUUUGUUAUCCAUCACAGGCUUUGCAAAUACACCAGGCUUAACACUAUCUGAAAUGGAACAUUGCUUUAGUCUCAAAAUGAUUUGAAGCUAAAGAUUACAAGAAACUUCUCAGAUAGAUGACUCACAGCAUACUGUUCAUGAUUUUAACAGGUCGGAUUCUAUCAGCGAAAGGCGCAGUUCAUAAAAGAAGCUUCUAAAAUUUGUCUUGAGCGCUUUGGAGGGGAUAUUCCGGAUUCUCUGAAUGAACUGCUUGCUCUGAGGGGAGUUGGCCCUAAAAUGGCUCAUUUGGUAAUAAUCUACUUAUUCUGUCCUUUGUGGUUGAAAUAUGAACACAUAUAUCUUCAUGGGUAUCUUUCUUUAACUAAACAGGUGAUGAGCAUUGCUUGGAAGAAUACUCAAGGAAUCUGUGUUGACACUCAUGUGCAUCGCAUUUCUAACCGACUUGGGUGGGUUUUUCGGGAAGGGACAAGACAGGUAGCUUAGGUUUGAUUUGUGAUGUCUUCUCUAGUUCUCUUCUUAAAAAAUCACAACUACCCAUUACAGAGGCUGGGGAAUAAUACUUAUGCUGCUAUGUGUUGUGCACAGAAAACUACGACACCAGAACAGACAAGAAUUUCUCUAGAGAAAUGGCUACCCAAGGAUGAGUGGGAACCUAUAAAUCCAUUACUGGUAUCUCUCUACUGAAGUUGUUUUAGUACGUCAAUAAUGUUUUUUUCAUUGAUUAUUUGAUUGUAAGAUAGUGGUUAUUGUUCUAUGCUAUCUGAAUCCUGCCUUGAUUUCAGAACUGCUAGUCUCUGCUGCAAAAGAACUGAAAAAAAAUGUCUUGUAGGUUGGAUUUGGGCAAACUAUCUGUACUCCACUGAGGCCCAAAUGCGAUAAGUGUGGCAUCAACAACAUUUGCCCUUCUGCUUUUAAGGAAUCAUCAAGCCCAAUUCCAAAGCAAAAGAAAACAAGGUCUCCAUAGAACUCUGACUGUGACUUGUCUGGCACCGACGUGAGAUAAUAUUUUGGGUUGUCCGUCGGUGGUAAAUAUUAUGGGGUUUCCUUUUGGUCAGUUAUUGUUGGAUCACCUUGGUGCCGUACCAUUGGCAUUUGGCAAUGGCAAGUCAUGUAUAUCAUUUUGUAUACCGGUAAAUUGUUCAAGACGGUAUGAAGACACGCUUGUCUACCAGUUACUGUAACAAGCGAAAUUUUCAUGUGCCAAAUGACACAUGAUUCAUGAAAGGUGGGUGCAAUGAGAAAAUUCUCUUGCGUGCACCAAAGUCUAUCGCCGUUUCCUAUAAGACCUAACAAGAGAUCUAAUCGAUAGCUGUCUAUGUAGUUAUCUGAUCGGGAGCUUGCGCGUGGGGUUUUCGUACUUGAGGCUCCAACAAGGAUACCUCGAUAAAAUAAAAAAAUAUUGCCUAUCGAUAGGAGUUUAUGUCUAUCACAUUUAUAUUAUUAGUUUGAUCACAUGAUUUAUCUUUCUAGUUAUAGGUUAGUUGAUAAGGCCGAAAUAUACAUUAUAUAACUUUUUUUGUUGUAGCGAUAGUUACUGUUUGCUUUAUAUAUUUGUAAGAUAAUGGUAACUGAUAACAUUAGUUUAAUCAUAAUCAGACAACACACUAGAAAUUGAUAUCGGUCUAUUUAAACUUGUUACCUUCAAUAAUUGAGCGUGAAUAAGUAUCAAAUAUCAUUUAUGUUACAUUUCGUGAAUCAAACAUCACCUUAGUUCAUUUCUUAAAUACACAUAUGAACAUUUGGUUAUGUGAAUAGAUUUUAAUUAAGGAAAAAAUAGAUACCAUAAAUUAGUGUGAAAAUAGAUGUCUAAUUCAUCCUCCUUAGGCAUCAUCGUUUCUUACAAGUAGUAUCAAGGCUAAUGAUUCAUUUGGAACUUUUGACUUAAACGUCGUCGAGCCAACACGAUUAAGAGAGGGAUAAAUGUAGAAUGACUUAAUACCUAGAACCCAUUGAUUUAAGUGUUUUGAGGGUCACUCGCGACAUGAUGAAACCAUUAAAAAUCCUAAAAAAACCCACCACGAGGUGAUGAAAGCAAAAUUCAUCUAAAUGCUCGAGCUAAAAAUUGUUCGUUUAAAUCUUUGAGCGUAGAUAUUUUUAACCGAAUGUUUGUACGUAAAAUUGCUAAUGAAAUUUGGUUAAAAUUACAUAACCCUCAAGACAAUAAUAUUGCCUAAGUUUAAAUGAAUAUAAUUGUUUUAGAACGAAAGAAAAUAAGUUUGUUAAAGAAAUGUGUCCUUGUUUGAAUCUAAUAUUCAAUGAACUCAGUUCUAUUGGCACAACCAACCGAUAUGCCCAUCGUGAGAAAGAUUCUUUCUAAAUGAGAGGAUAAUCACAAUUCUUCAUAAUAUAGAGCUUGAGCACAACGACCUCAUGGUUUGUGAUUGACAAGCAGGUGCCAUGAGACGACACAAAAAAUAGGUUAAAAGAGGUCACUUUUAUCAAGCAAAGGCAUUGGUCUUACAUGUGAAGAACACAAAAGGAUGAAAGGCAAGAAGCAAGUCAAAUCUCAAGCCCAAGCUCAUCAACUAAAGAAGAAUAUAAGAAUGAUGAUGGUGAGCCUCCACCUCAUCCUCUAAAACGCUGAAGAUACAAUCCAAAGAGACAGAAAAGUGACGGGGAUGAUACACAAGAUAAACUUAAUGAGUGUAUCCAUUAAGCUAAACAAAUCUCAUUCAACAACCAUAAAAAGAAUAAAGAAAGAGAUGAUGUUUUGAAUGUAGCCACAAGGGUUACUCAAGAUAAUUAUUCAAACAAGACCACACCUAAGGACAAAAGAGAGAGACAGAGGCCAAGUUCUAACAUCAAUGAAGGAAUGAGAGGCUUCACCAAGUAAAGAUGAAACCUAACACAAGAGACAAUCGUCCUCACUCUAUGGGUCCACUUGGUUGUGUAACUAAGGUGCCAAAAAUUGCCAUAAUUUUUUGCUACACUUGGCUAAGAUUAGACGCUCAAAUUCUCACUAAAUCUUGUCAUGACUAAAUAAUCUUGCCACGCUUUUAUAAAUUGCAUAAUUUUCUGCUACACUUGCAUUAGACACUCAAAUUAUUCGCCACAGCAUACCUAAGAGAUUCUUACAACACUUUUAUAAUUUGCCAUAAUUUUCUACUACACUUGCUUAGGAUUAGACAUUCAAAUUCUUCGCUACAUCUUUUGUAAGUUAGCGAAGAAUUUUGCCACACUUUUAUAAGUUAUUGACAAGUGGGAUCUAUGUGGGAGGAGAAAAAUUUUGCCAUAAUUAUGGCUAUGGUAAAUUUUUAUAAGUUAUUGACAAGUGAGAUCUAUGUGGGAGGAGAAUUUUUUUUCCAUAAUUAUGGCUAUGGUAAAUUAGGCAUCGAAUUAAAUCGGCCCUAUAUCUUGCUCUUCUCAAAAAUGACUUAUGACACGAGGAAGAUUCAUCUUCUAGUGAGGAUGAUAGUAAUAGUGAGAACGAAAAUGAAUAACACUAUUGAAAAACUUGCGCAUGUCGUUAGAUUUUUUUGAGAAGGUUUGCACAAAACAAAAUUAUUAAAAUCAAAAUUAGUUAGUUCAUAAAAAUCCCAUCAAAAUUUGUUAGAACAAUAUGAAACAUUUGAAAAUUUGAACAUUGAGCUAUCUAUUAGAAUUGGAUAAUUAGAAGCUAGGUGCAAACAUUAUUACUGAUGAGCACUUAAUUAAAAAGAAUGAGAAACUAAAAGCAAAGUUAGCUAUGCUUAUUGGUGAUUUUUUUUUCUCGCAAAAUUCUUCCACAGAGUUAUGUGCCACAUGUAUGAUCCAGAUCCGAAUUUGUAUUUGCUAGCAUGGCCGAAGUGCACUCGUUUCCACGACGGUGGACAGGGUUCAGAUGACGCAAUUUUGCGAGUUCUUGCUCCGAAGAAAGAUAAUAAUACAGCUAAUAUGACAAAAUAGGACACUGCACAUGAAUAUGCAAACUCAACUCAAUGUACCCAGAUGAUUGCCAUUGCACCCAAAAGCACUUCAUCUUCUUCCACUUCUAUAUCCGAGCCCAAGUCCCUAAAUGCCAUCGUUCGUGCAGGCACCGCCAGUGCUAGUCGGCAAUGAACAUCUCACCGUCUGCGGAAACCACGCAUGGCAUCCAGUUGCCGCUGCCUCAGGUUGCCAUACUUCCUUCUACGCCGUCCAGUACCGGCAGCAGACUGAAAGACACAGUUGCAAAAGCCUUUUAACUCAACAAAACUGCCUCGAAUCAAUUGCAGGGGCCUGGACUAGAGAUGACUUUAACCUGCUCCUCAGCUUUCAUCGAUCCCAUGAGCUCGUCCAUGUCUGGUGACUCUUUUCCUUGCAUAGCGCCCAUCAUUUUCUGCAUUUUUGCACGCAUUUGGAAGAGUUGCGCGACCAAUUGGCUCACCUGAUAGUGGAGGAACAGUUAAUCUGAUCUCUUGGUUACUAGUUUGGCUUAUACUAGAACGUAUAGGAAAAGAUUUUGUAUGAUAAGAGUACUGAAACUGAACCUGCUGUUCAGUCUUUCCAGAGUCCUUGGCCACUCGUUUCCUUCUCUCGCGUGAUUCAGCAAGAAGCUCUGGUCGUUCCCUUUCCUCUGCAUAAACACCAAUAAACAACUGACCAUUCAGAUAGGAGAGAUGGGUUUUGCCAUCAAGGAACUUAGGGUUAGUUAUUGACUGAGACACUGUUUAGUUAGUGGCCUUAGCCUCGAAGUUAAAUAUGAUGAUACGAUAGGAAUGCAUCCCUCUGGUCAGAGUUCAGGCUCAUAAAAUAAAUUUCUCAAAUAUAUUUGUAAAACUGUAAAGAGAAUGUUGAUAUUUUUGGAAGUGGAGCACUCUCAGAUUGAGGCAACUUAAGGCCCCUCUUGCAACUACGAGAACAGUAGAAUACCAACCAAACAAAUGAUAGCAAGUGAAAGCUAAUCUAUACAUUCACACUAUUACAUGUUCCGUAACGCUGGCCAAGCAAAGCUUAGACAAGCUACUGACUUCGUGGCAAAUCAUUGGGCUCAAAAAAUCAAAAUACUAAAUAAGUUUCACAUAAAAGCUCCAGAUAUGUGUUACAAGACUUAAAACAGUAUAAAGAAACACUGGACAGUAAGAGUUCAGGAGGAACAUGCAAAAAUGAUAUUCUCAGAAUGUCUCUUGACUGCGGAAUACAUACCAAGAGUCAUCACAUUGAUCAUUGAUUCCAUAAACUUGAGAUUCUUCUCAGCUUCACGGAUUUGUGCAGGAGUAACCUAUUUAAACAUGGCAAUAUUUGUCUUAAAUCUUAAUAAUGUGAAUUUUAUAGUUUGAAUAUGAUCAUUAAUUGCUUUCAUAAGACAUAACUCCAAAGUACGAUAUUAAAUGUGAUCCAGAAGUUCAUAUUUGUACCUUGUUCAUGCCCGGAAUCAUGCCAAUCAAACGACUGAAUGAACCCAUUUUUGCAAUCAUUUGUGUUUGCUUCAGGAAGUCAUUAAAGUUGAAUUUUGCACUCAAGAUCUUCUUCUGUAAUUCAUCAGCAUCUUCUUGGCGCAUCUACUUGUACAAACAGGUAAUGCCACAGAAUAUCAAAUUAUAGUCUAACAAAAGACAAGACAAAAGGAAUAAUUUCACAAGAAAUGACUUACCACUUCUUGUGCUUUUUCAACAAAUGAAAGUACAUCUCCCAUUCCCAAGAUACGUUGUGCCAUACGAUCUGGGUAGAAAGGCUCAAGAUCUUCAAUACGCUCUCCUUGUCCUACAAAUUUAAUUGGCUUUCCAGACACCUGCAUUUUUUCAGUUUUCAUAUUUAUCCGAAUGUGUACUAAUCAAAGGGAAAACACCUUCUAAUGAAUGUAGGCAUAAAACAAGUAACUUUUGAGCAUUUAUUGUUUAAUCACUUGCAUAUAACAGUACUCCUGCUUGUCCCCUUUGUUCAUACAACAGUUAAGCGAAACAUAAGUAUUAUAGUAAAAGAGGGAGUACAAGGAAGUCAGGGGACAUGGGUGCAUCUAGGCCCUAAGAAACCAAGCCAAAAUUUGACCCGCCCUGAAAAUUUGUCUAUUAUUUAGUUUGAGACCAAAUUUGUCCUGAACAGAAAAUAAUUUGUCAGCGGACAGCUACAGUCAACAACCAAAGUUGGCCUCCCUCAGGGAAGCAAUUUGGCCAGGCUGUAACCACUUCCAUGGGUGGUGUCAUUGCAUGCAUGUAGAUCGAAAUUUGAAGGUAAUCAAACUUCAAAUGCUAAUGUCUACUAAACCAUGUGUAUAUUUUCAAUUUGUUUUCGCCAUAGUAUUCCUCACAAUUGUUUCUACAAAACAAGAUCAGUCACAUGUCCAUGCAUGCGAGCCGUGCAUGUCAGACUCACAAUUUGACAAAUUUUGUACCUACAUCCCAACAUUUUUUCUGCCCAUGUCCAAAUUUUGGCAUGGCUAUGAAUGGAUUAUUGUUUGCCACAUUUUACCAUUGACCAUAUUUGGCUACGACCGAAGUUUGGUUUGGUCUGCUUGGUAGCUUGGAACAAGGUUACUAGGCCAAAAGAAUUUGGAGGAUUGGAUAUCUUAAAUCUGCGUUUGAUGAAUUGGGCUCUUAGAUUACGCUGGCUCUGGCUGAAAAAAACCGAUACUGGCAGACCUUGGACAUCCUUUAAAAUAAAUGCUCAUCCUUCAGUUAAGACCUUCUUCUCGGCAACAAUCUCUUCGGUGGUGGGCAACGGUAAAAACACUUUGUUUUGGACAGAUAAUUGGAUCGAUGGCCAAAGUCUAUGUCAGCUGGCCCCUCAUUUGGUCCAGAUGGUCUCUUCUAGGGCUAAAAUGAGGAAUGUCCACGAUGCCCUCAUUUCAAGGAGCCGGGUUCAUGAUAUUAGAGGAGUUAUCACUGUAAAUGUUUUGUCUGACUUCCUCAAGGUUUGGGACCUCACUACAGACUGGGUCUUAACACCAGAUCAGGAGGAUAAGCAUAGUUGGAGGCUUUCAAGCUCAGGUUUAUAUUCGGCCAAAUCGGCAUAUACCGAUUUCUUUCUUGGAGCAACAACUUUUAAUUUAAACCUUGGGAAAGGAUUUGGAAAUCAUGGGCUCCUAGUAAAUGCAAGUUCUUCAUGUGGCUCGUGGCCCACGAUCGCUGCUGGACAGCAGACCGACUAGCAAAAAGAGGACUGCCUCACCCUCAAUUUUGUACACUUUGUGAUCAAGAGGAAGAAACGAUAAACCACUUGCUGGUUUCCUACGUUUUCUCUCGGGCUGUCUGGUUUCAGAUGAUGAAAUCUGUUGGGUUGCAGCACCUUGCUCCUAAGUCCUAACCCUACGUGCUCCUCCUUUGAAGAUUGGUGGGAAGGGGUUGCUGCAUUUUCUGCUGGUCUAGCAAACACAGGGCUGCACAAGGGCUUGAAUUCUUUGAUCAUUAUUGGUGCUUGGGCCAUCUGGAAUCACCGCAAUAUCUGUGUUUUUAAUGGUGUGCAGCCUAGUCAAAGCAUGGUCACCAAUUGGGUCAAGGAGGAGGCUCAUCUCUGGUAUAGGGCUGGAGCCAGGGAUUUAUCUAACAUCCUUAUGCUCCAGUAAUUUCAGUGGGUAAUCUUUAAUUUGAGUCUCCAUGGUCACGGGUCUAGAUGUCUUUUGUUGUUGUUGAUGUUAAUUUUCUCCUUCUCCCUAUAGUCUAGUGUUUGUGGGUUCGUGUGGAGUUGUACGAGGUUUCCUUGCCUCACCCUUUCUUCUUAAUAUAUUGAUACGCAGCUCUCCUGCGUUUUCGAAAAAAAAAAUGUCAUAAACCGAGCAGGUCCUAAAGCCAUGAUGCAUUUUGUAUUAUGUGAUCCUACAAAUGUGUGGUGUUACCAUGAAUUAGUAGUUUACUUGUAGAGAACCUUGAAUUGGUCGCGGUUUUCUGAAGGUAAUCGAUGAAACAAAACGACAGAAAACAAGAAACCUCUUUAACGCUCAGUGCUGCUCCACCUCUUGAGUCACCAUCCAGUUUUGUCAGUAUAGCACCAGUUAUACCAAUCUCAUCAUUGAAGGAGCUGACCAACCCUGACCAUAUCAUCAAAAAAAGGUAAGUUUGCAACUCAAAAAAAAUUGAGAUUUAUAUCACAGAAUGAUACGUCCUGCUACUUAUAUUGUGCGCCUUAUGCUUGCACUCCUAUGAGAAGAAAGCAAGAAAUCAUGAAGAACAUUAAUAAAUGUGACAUGAAAAAUGUGGGAAUCCAAAUCCAGAUGGGGAAAUACAAUAAAUGUAUACACAAGAAACUAUGAAACAGUCAAGUUUCAACCUGUGAAAUUCUUUUCCUAAAACAUGGGCAGAGAAUUAGGCUACAAAGUACAAACAUAUUAAGUAUAAAACGAUGAUGAAAUAGAGACCUAAACCCAACUUUAGAAUAACAAGAAUUAGGUAAUCUACAAACAUAUUAAGUAUAAAACAAUGAUGAAAUAGAGACCUAAACCCAAAUUUAGAAUAAACAAGACGCAGCUAUAUACCUGCAGCUUCUUGGCCAGUCAUGGCAUCAACCACAAGAAGAACUUCUGUAGGAUUCACUGCUUUUUUUACUUCUUUCAACUCAUUCAUCAUUGCUUUAUCUACCUAGUGACACAAGAUUAAUCAGAUGAAUUAACAUCAGUGGAACUGAUCAAAUUCACUGCAAAAAGUAUGAAGGGCAGGGGCAGCAAGCUGCCAGUACCCCAAUCAUAAAGAAAUUUAAAACGAAAAGUUUAAAACUACAUUGACAUGCAUCAGUUUAGCAAAAAGGGAAGUACUAGAUUGAAAUUAUGCUAUGAAGACAGUUUUAUGUUGUGAAACACUUAUUUUCACAGAAGCUCGUGAUAGAUUAUUUGUUGAUUUACUUUAAAAUAUUAUAAUGGAGCUACCACUUUUUGGUUGAAAUAUUAUUUUAAGAUUCAAAGAAGCAUAGGACAAUAUCAAAAUCUCUGUUUGGCUGAAUAGCAUUUUGAGUUGAAAUAUUAUUUUAUGAUUCAAAGAAGCCAUAGCAUUUCUAUUUGGCUGAAUAGCCUGUUGUAUAGUUCUGCUGCACUUCUUGACACUUCUGUAUUGUUUCUUAUCUUUAUAUUCUUUCUGUAUUUAUAUAAUACCACAGUAGGGCAUUCCCCUACUGCAUGUCUCUCAAAACAGAAUAUCAACAUCUCAUUCAAAGUCAACAUUUCAGACCAUUUUUACCAACUUGAUUCCUUACAAGAAAACAAAUAGUGCAAUUUAACCACAUAUGUAAAGUACAGCCUAAAAUUUUCAAAGUUCAGUAUGAUUAUGACCUGGAUCCAAGAUAUUACAUAGUUGCCCUUUAUCACAAAUGAAACAGAUCAGUGGAACAAAUAUUGAAGCAACAUGUGUAUGACCUGCAGUCUUCCAGCCGUGUCCACUAUAAUUACAUCAGCCUUAUUGACUUUUGCCUCCUUCAAACCGUUUUUGGCUAUUUGUGAAGGUUUUGCUUCAGUUCCUUCUGAGUAAACUGGUACACCAACCUAUCAACAUUCAAAUGUUUUCUACUGAAGAAUAAGUUAUAGCAGAACAUUCAAGCAAGUGUCUAUUCUAAAAGAGGCAGAACAUGCAUCAAUGGCAAGUUCUACAGUUUUUACCUUUUUACCCAGAAUAGUGAGUUGAUCAAUAGCAGCAGGCCUGUAAACAUCUGCAGCAACUAGCAUACAGCUCUUGCCCUGUAAUCUAAGACUGGCUAUAAGUAACAAAAGACUAUAGAUGAAUUAUAAAAUGUUUAAAUAGUUAAAGUACAGGCUUAAGGAAAAUACCAGUUUUUUGAGAUAGAAGGCAAGCUUCGCACAAACAGUAGUUUUUCCAACACCUUGCAGACCUGCCAAUAAUAUAAUAGUUGGCCCAGAUUUUGCAAACACCAAAUCUGAUACCUCCCCGCCCAUCAGUUGUACCAGUUCAUCACUCACAACCUGCAUCAUUGAGAUAACUUACUCAGGCUUCUAAGCACAUGAAAUAGCUGAUGAAGAACACAUUAAAUAAGUCGAUGCUAAGCACCAUUCUUUUUAUAGGAUUGCCUAUGUGCACAAUAUAUCAUAUCCAUUAAUUCAUCAGCCUCUCGCAGAAAGGAAAAUGAGAAAAAAUUUGGUAACCAUGCAAUUAAAAGAUGGCUAAGAAGCCAAAGUCAAACAAGUCUAUUGCAUGUACAAUACUAGAAUGGCAUGUUUCUACGAUAUGGGUAUACCUUCACCAACUGCUGGUCAGGUCGGACACCUCGGAUCACAUCGGUGCCUACAGCCUUUUCACUUACAGACUCAAUAAAUCUUCUUACUACUGGCAAACUUACCUGCAAAAUAGGUUCCACAUCAGAUUAUGAAGGGGAGAAGAAAGAAUAAAAACAAAAAUCAUGCAGAAGUACAAAUCAGACAUACAUCGGCCUCCAAAAGUGCUCUUCUGAUAUCCCGCAUUGGUUCAGCUAUGUUUUCCUUUGUCAAUACAUCUUGAACCACACAAAAAAAACAUAUUGCUUAAUGAAAAAUUGAGCCGAGUUAUAGAGGAUGCAGACAUAAAUAAAGAAUGCAAUGUAAGAGCAUAUCAGCUGGUAACCUCUAGUAGAAUGAAACACAAGUUAUCCAUGGAUAAUUUUGGUAUAAUAAAAAUGGGUUUUUCUUUUGUUGCAAAAAAGACAGUUUUGAUAUCUGCCCAAAUUAAUAAGACUAGAUAGGCCAUAUAUCUUGAAUCACUGACCUAAAUGGAACUGCAGGCGCAUCUAUGGAUCGAACAAGCAUUUGAAAAAAAUAGCCAAUAGAUAAUAUCACAAUUCCCACAGUUAUUGCAUUAUAUUGUAUACCUGUUAUGGUAAUAUCACAAAUAGAGAGAGAUUUGGAAAUAAAAUUCAUAUUCGUGGAAGCAACAAAAAAUGCUCACCGACUCCCCUCAGCUUGUUCCAGGCGGACUCGAGGCCGGUGGUGAGCUGGCCAAACAUCUCCGCCCGAACCACCAGCCCGCCCGCCCUCCCCCGCCGCCUCCAUCCCUGACCUCACACAGAGCAAACAGGUAAAAAUCGAUUCCAUCCCAGAAUACGAAAUUCUCGCCGAGGGAACGGAAGAAACGAAAGGCGGAGCAGUGGAGAGUGCUGAAGCGGACCUGGAAGGGUGACUGGUGCGAGCGAAGCGCUGGGCUCCGGGCAGCGCGGAGGUGGAGCGAGGUGGUAGCUGAGAAACGGCGGAGGCUGAGGGACGCAGCGGUCGCCUUCUCCGGCGAGCGACGUGCGGUGGCAAGGGACGAGGAGGAGAGCGCGAGCGCUGUCGUGGCCUCCAUUGGGUUUGGGCAGGAGACGAGGUACGGGAGCAGUGUGUUCUGCGGAGGAGAGGGAAGCGACGAGGCGGAUAAGAGCGGUUGGAAACUGAUUGCCCUUCAGUUGGGCCUAUCGGGCUUUUAUGGGCUCGUAAUAAUCCUUUCUCUCGUAUAUUUGAGACAGCUCCACUGCGUAUAGUUUCUAUAAAAUGAUUGCCCAACUCCAAUCACAUAUCUUCUCUUUCACAUAUCUACCUAUCAUAUUUCUUCUUUACUUUUUUUUAAUAAUAGAAAUAUCAUCCGACCUUGACCUCAAAUGAGAUUACGACCAAUUAUUACAUUUAGCAGCAACAUAGUCUAAGACUCCUCCUAUAACCACACCAAAGAACACCAACUACCGAACUAAAACUACUACAAAGUUAAACGCCACGAAGACCCCAAUACAAAGUUGCUGAAGAACUGUAGUAGCACCCUCUCCACGUUACAACAUGAAGACUUAAUUAACUCUUGGCCAUCCCUUCUAGGCUGAAGGUGUGACCAGAAGCGGUAUCAAUAUGUUGCCCUAAAGGUUACAUACACAUGAUUUAGGAGAUGAUUUAUUGAAAACCACAUCAUUCCUACUUAACCAAAUAGCCCAACAAAUUGCCGAUGCAACGGUUAUAGUAAGUUGUGUGAUCUGGGCAGCAACUCACUCACCCAAACCCCAAACAAAUCAUUAGCAUCCCGAGGAGGUCUCAACCCUGUACUUAUUUGUAACAACUGAAAAACAGGUGUUUUAUUGUCUCCGGUCUGCUACAAAAGCAACAUAUCUUAUUACCAUUCCAAUGACUCUUAGCCAAGUUAUCCUUUGUUAAAGUUACACCUCUUUUGAGGUGCCACAUAAAAAUUUUAAUUUUCAAAGGAAGAUUAAGUUUCCAAAGGUCCUUAUUAUACACCUCCACCCCAUUGUUGAGAGAUGCCCGAUACAAGGACUGAACAAUAAACAUUCCAUUGGAGGUCAAGUUCCAUCUGAACGAAUCCCUAUUUGAAUUCAAAUUAGUAUGCGAUACCAAUGAUACCAGAUGAAACCAUUGGACGUAGACAUGAUCUUUUAAUUAGAAAUCACUUCUUCGUCUAUCUUUAAAUAUAGUGCCACAUCAUUUAUUUCUGAUUAGUUGAAUCCUAACUAAUAAACAUACUAUGUGGUUUAUGGGUUGGGAGUACCCUAACUGUAAUUGUUCAUAAGACAAAAAAUGUGAUGGGUAGCAACCUAAUCAUCUAUCAUUGCAUAUAUAGGCACUUCAAAUGACAUACUAAGAUGGUAAGACAAAUGCUACGCCAAAUAUCUAGUAUUAGAGAUACAAUCAUAUAGGCAACGGCUAUAAACAAUCCUCUUUUAUAACUUUAAGUCUCGUUUGGAUGUACAUGUAUCCAACUUAAUCCAUAUAGUUUGCAUUCUAAUAUGUGUGGUCUAAGAUAAAUACAUGAACACCCAAACAAACUCGUACAUGUUAUGUUAGUACAUCCUAAAUUAUCCGCUGCAAACGAACUCCAAUCCCUCAACGACACCUACAUGUGUUGUGACCCCCCCCCCAAGGUGGCUCAUAUAGGCAAUGGCUAUAAACAAUCCUCUUUUGAACGUUAAGUAUUGUUUGGAUGUACAUGUAUCCACUUAUUCUAUAUAUAUUGGAAUAAUUUUUACUCUAAUUCACUCUAAUACGUGUGGUCUAAGAUAAAUACAUGAACAUCCAAACAAACUUGUAUAUAUUACUACCUCCCAAAUUAUCCGCUGCAAACGGACACCUACACGUACGGUGACGGUGAGGCAUGACCAGAGUAGAGAUGGCAAUGGGUAAAUACCCACCGGGUAUUAUUACCCCAUACCCAUACCCACGACAAAAAAAUAACCCCAUCGGGUCACCCAUAUACACUGGUGGGUAUGGAUUUACCCCCAUACCCAUACCCGCGUGGGUAUGGGUCACCCAUCGGGUCACCCGUACCCACAAAAAUUAAACAUCUAUCAAAAUAUUAUAUUAUACAAAUGUCAAGUAUAUCCAUCUAAAUACCAUUGUAAAAAUUAACCAUUCAUUCAACACACCAAAGAUAAUUGGAUAAAAUAGUAACAAUAGGACAGUACUACAUAGCACAUUAAUGUUCCAUUACAUGGUCAUUAUAUUGUCGUUAAACCUUAUAUGACAUUAUGGUCUAAAAGGUUGUUAAAUAGUAAAAAAGAUGGAUGACUAAAGUCCAAGAUCAUGCUUGGACUAAGUUUAUAUUGGGUAUUUUAUACCCGUUGGUUAACGGGUAUGGGUGAAGGUGUAACGUUCUAAUACCCGUUUACCCAUUGGGUGAAGAUUUUUGCCCUAUAACAGACCCACGGGUAGAAUAUUUAGCUCAUAUAUAUACCCUAAUAGAGUAAAUACCCAUCGGGUAUCGGGUCACGGGUACCCAUUGCCAUCUCUAGACCAGAGGGAGCAACAAAUGAAAUGCAUUCCUCGCCGACCCUAAACCACAUCUCCCCUUCUCUUGAUUAGAUGGAGCUCCGCCACUAAAACCCUUCUAGAUGAGCAGGAGGCGAGAUAUGCUGGUCAGCUGGUGACAGCCAUAGGCAUGCCUUGGCUACAUAUCUAUACACCGCAUUGAUUUCCAAGAACAAAAUAUAAAAAAAUACUGGCUGGUCAAAAGGCAACCCGAUUGUUCAUUUUAGAAAGAAAAAAAGAGAGAGAGAAGGAAACCCGAUUCACGGAAUCCAGCAGGCUAUACUGUUACUAUUAACAAGGUCAAAUAUAACCUGCACUAAAGUGCAAAUUUAAACUUCCAAUCCAUCCCCACAAGCAACUUAAACGGUGCCUAGCAUGUGGUGUCUACAUCUUAGAGCAAGCCAGAGUCAAUGAGAGGCAUAGAUAGAACAGGAGUCGAACAAAAGCUGCAGUGCAGGAUCUGCAUGUGAGCAAUGGAUCAGCGACCUCGCCCCUCAGAACCAUGGGAACCGAUGGACAGGAGUCAACUCCAGCAGCACGUCCGCGGAAGCCCUCGGCCAGACACGGAGCUCCCUCCGGGCCGCCUCGAGCUUGGCUGCAUGCUCCGGCCUGACCUGCGAGUGGUGGUACACGAUGCUCAUCCUCUUGAGGACCCUCGCGUUCAUCACCAGGAACUUGCAGAUGCCCUCGCAAGGGUGGCCUUCCAGGAGCGAGUCGGUGUAGAAGGUGACGCUCGCCAGGUGGUACAGAAACCCGUCCGCGGUUAUCUUCUUCUCCCAGAACUCCGCAGCCAAGGGCACGGGGCUCCCCGGGUGCCGGAGCUCCUGAUAACACAACACCAAUGGUGAGCUGUUUUACGAGCGGUUAACAGGAAACAGGACAGAAUGGAAGGCAUCAGCUGUAUAGGAAGACUCACAAUGAUUCUGAGAUCCUUGAGGUUGGGAGAGCUGUUCAGCAAGCAUGAGACUAGAGUAGCAAGAACUGCAUGGUUGUGGUCCAGAGUAAGGCUGAGUGAUUUCAAGCCAUGCAGGUACUUUUUCUUGGGCAAACUCGUCAACGUUGAAGCCUUGACCAUGUCCAAAACCUGAUCAAAACAGAAACUGAUGAAAGUUUGCACCUUCUGUAAACUACUUUGUAUCGAAAAGGAUCGUUUAAAUAGGGUCUCCAGUGACUAUAUGCUUUGUUGCAGUACUCGGUUCUUGUCAUGUGAGCUGAAUCAAGUGUUGAUCCUAGAACAGAUCGACUAGCCUAAACAUUGGACAUUGCUAGGAUUAUUACAAACUGCGAAGAAGAAAAAAAUCAAACCUCGAAGUUUAUUAUAUGAGAGUAGAAACAGCAAAGACAGACGCACUGUAUGUAUUGUGGUGUCGUUUGGCUCACAUAUUGGUAACGUAAUGGAUAACCGAUAACAUUAAAUCAUGUUUGUUUAAGUCCAACCGUAAUCGGAUACCACACUAGAAAUGGAUACUGGCCUAUUCAAAUUUGUUACCGCCGAUACUCAAGUCAAGUGUGAAUCGUUACCAUUUAUAUUACAUUUCGUGAACCAAACGACACCUAUAUUCUACAUGAUACCAGCCAAAUAUGGGGCAUGCGUGAAUUAUGCUGAGGAAUGAUUAAAUAAAUACCAAUGAUCAAGUAAUCUUAUUACAAUCAACAUACGCUGACCGACCUGGUGGGAUGCUAGACUCACCAACACAGGUAACACCACGUUCUUCGUAGUAGGAAACUAGGAAUGAUCACAAGCAACAACAAACAAGUCCAAGCCAAUGGCUUGCAACAGGAAGUGCUUCAACAUACGUCUUAUACCAAAAAAGGGGAUCUUAAGUAAAUUAUUCUGAAUUAUCAUAUUAAAAAACAUAUGUCUCCCAUAUAAUUCUCAAAUAUAUAUACCUAUGUGUGUGUGAGAGAAAAGAUUAGGUUUUCUUAGAUAGCAGCCUGCCCUUGAUCAACUAAAAGAUUUUCGUUGUAUUGAGCCAUUGAUGAGCAAGUAACAAUUACAACAAUUCAGGGCUCGCAUCUGGUACUAGUACUAGUAGAUAUGUCAUCUCUUCCACACCAGUAUAUAGAUUGUAAGUGUAUGUUAUUCCAACAUUAACUAGUAGCAUCCUUGAGCUAUCCACAAUAGUUUUGUGGUGAGAUGGAACAAGCUUGAACUGUGCCAAUACUAGUGAAGGAUGCAUGAUAGUAGCACACAUUAAAAUGAGGUGUGAUAUGCUGUCAUUGCAGAAAAAAAGGAGGAAUUAUGACAAGCAAUAGAGUACGGUAAAAGACUUGAUCUUUUUGUCUCAUCAUCGAAGCUGCGAUUUAUGUAAGUAACAAAAUCUUUCAGCUUGCAGUAGCAUUUAAAAGAGCCAAAAAGAUGCACUCUGAGCCAAAACAAACUAACCUCGGAGUAUUCAGUCGAUAAGUGCAACUGGAGCGUCUUGGUGCAGCUGAGUGCAGUGAGGAAUGUUUCCAUGUUCUUGAUCUCAUCCGUCUGCCUGUGCUCCCUCUCGGCCAUCUUCUUAUAAUCAAGCAUCUCCUCUAUUUCAUGAACGGAGUACUCUCUUUUGGUGUCCUUGGUGUCAUGGAGGCUCCAAUAAUGCUCAGGGUAGCCGUAGGAAAGGCUCAGCCUCACCAUGUUCAGUGGCUGUGCCUUCGCCUUCUUCAGGGAGAUGCAGAGCGGGCGAUACGAGUAGAUGUCUAGCCUCUUGAGGCAUGGCGCGCGUAUGACGAUGUUUCGCGCCAUGUGGAUGCCGUGGAUCUCCAGACGUUCUAUCGCCGUGCACCGGCAGACGAUGAGACGGAUGUCGCUGUCCCUGGCGACCACGUUGCGGAGGCGGAGCGUCUGCAGGGCGCGCAGGGUCACCGCAGCGGCCCUGAUCGGCACCUGGAGCCGGCAAUUGUAGAGGUCCAGCGAGGUGAGCGUCUUGCAGGUGUAGACAGCGUCGGGCAGCGCGUAGCACUCUUUGUAGUCGGUGUUGGCGAUGCUGAGCUCCAGGAGCCCGCCGCUGCCGCAGACCUCGCGGAAGACCCAGCCGAACCACUCGCCGUACACGCACAUGAAUCCGCAGUCGACCUCGAAAGCCACGACCGGCGCGGCGCGGCGGUCGAGGACGCAGCGGAGGGCGCGAAGCCAGCGCGGCGGGUCCUCGCAGCGGUCCUCGUCGGGGAAGCCGCGGCGGUUGAAUGUGGCGGGGCGGAGGACCAGGCGCGGGAGCGUGGCGAAGACGCGGGGCCAGCGGCGGGAGAGCACGGCCGUGGCCGCCGCGUCGCGGAGCGGCAGGCGCACGAGGAUGGCGUGGAGGGUGGCGUCGUCGAGCGCGCCGAGCCGGUCCUCCGCGCCGGCCUGCGGAGGCGAGCGCCUCGCCCUCUUCGCCAUCGGCGGCGUGCAUUCCUGGUCCAUCGGAGGGGCGGAGUCCGGAGGGGAGGAAUGAGAGGAAAGAGAGGGGGAACGGAGAUUUUGCUGCUGCUGAUGGCAGGCGUGCUUCCUUUUCCCGCCAGAUUUUGCAAUGCGCGCCCUUUUUCCGAUCCAUUUUUUGGAGAGGAGGAAAAUGUGGAGAGCUCCGGUCGAAAAGCCACGUAGGCGGCAGGCAGGUCCGGUGGAUCGGUGCACGCAGGCGUACGGGCGAGGGCGCAGCGCCGCGCCCGCGGGUCGAGGCCUCGAGGGUCACAGCGAGCCAGCGACGGGGGCGAGUUCGGGGAGUCGCGGCGGCGGCGGCGGCUGCCUGGGCCCUGGGUCAUGGGCCGAAAUUCAGGAGUGGGCUGAGCAUCCGAUCAGGUGAUUUACUUAUUGGGCUUCGACCACCCAAGAACUCUUCAGAUGGAUGAAGGGGUCCAAGACUGACCUUUUUGAGAAAAAAAAAGAACUCUUCAGAUGAUGAAGUGCAAGCACGAUGGAGAUGGUUCCUCCGCCGGUGUCCAACUGUCCAAGGAAUUGAAGCAGCAGCAGGCCAGGGUCGUGAGCUCUUUGAGCCUGUAGUGCGCAGGGCAGCUGAGCAGGAGCGUGCCCACAGCUGCGGGAGGGGGAGGGGGGCAAGACGGCAAGUGGUGGGUAUAGCCGUAUAGGUGUACAUUUGGGAGGCCUAAUGGGUCGGCUCGAAGAACGGCUCAGAUACGGCAAGGUCCGAAAUAUUUUAGUGUCGGACCGGUACGGCCCGAUAUAUCGAGCCGGGUUUUGGUCGAGGUCACGGUCUAUGGGUGAGCACGAGCACAGCCCGUUUAAAGCAGGCAUGAAAUGACACAUAUAAAGACACAAAAAAGAUCAUAUCUCUACUAUACUUAAAGCACCAGUUUCAACGGUCGUCGUGCGUCAUAUUUUUACGGAAACAUCCUUCAAUUUUUCCUACUAUUAACCCGCCGUCCUCUCCGCGUAUAUAUCGGGAGCCACAACCCAACCCUACGUGCAGUCGCCGCCGCUUGCAACAAACGUCUCCGCGCCAGCCGCCCGCUUCAAUAGCUACGCGUCACUAUCAACCACGCUGCGCAGGUACCCCCAGCCGCGUCGUGUCACCGUGUGGAUGAAUAUGCACCCCUUCCCUCGCAGCCUCAUGCAACAGAUCCGCGCCCGAUGCGUCGUGUGGACCAAACUGCUCUGUGCCAGCCGACCCUGAUAAAAGCACUGCACCUUUCGCAUUGGGACGUCCUGCCUCCAACUCGCCAGCAGCCGCCGUCGUGUCCCAUGCGCAACCCACCGCCUCGCUUCGCCUAGCCGUCCCAGGUUCCGCCGCAACUCAAUCCUUCCACGCGCCAUGCGAUGGUGACCGACUAGCUGCACGUGCAUGAGGCCGCCGACGGCGGCACCACGAACCACGGGAACCACCGACUACCGACCCACUUGCUACCGCCUCUCCCUGUGGAGGUGGUGUCGAUGUACCCGCCGUUGGGGUCGGAGGACGACGAGAUUUGCGUGUGGACCCAGAUUAAGGCGGAGGCCCGCCCCUCCACCCAUCGCCACUGCGCCAAACUUCUCGUCGCGCGCUGACGAGGGGAGGCCACGCCGGGGCUCGCCUAUGCGGCAGGCUUGGCGCUAUAGGGUAUGUGGAUGUUGUACCGACGCGCCAUCACGCAAGGUUAUGCACUCCACACCGCCAGUCACGUCGACUACACCAUUAAGUGUCGCACGAUGAUGAUUACCACCGCAUGUGGUCUGUUGCCACACUGCAGUUCUAUGGACACCUCGUGCUGCUUGUGAUCGUCGGCUCAGUUGCUUACGCGACAGUCCUAUCCAGGGCAAAUCGUCCCCCGAGCGGGUACAAUGUUGUGGGCAAGGAGGUCCAGAUGGAGCGGAUGCGAAUUGCCGAUGAUGUCACAGUUCACAAUGGUUUCAGAUGAGAAGGAAGACGGAGUGAAUACCUCUACAUUAGCUUCAAUGGCAAAUGGCGGGGAGUGAAUACCACUACACGAACCACCAUGAUGUCCUUGAAGAAGGUUGUGAUCGAGGGCUUCGUCGAUGCCGCCGACAAGUUUUGCAUCGAGUCUGGCUCCGAGCGUAUUACACGCUUCUGUUUCUCUCUUCCGUUGUUGAACUUCCUGGGGAAUUCGUCCGAAUUUCUGAUUUUAAUUUUGCAGUUGAGAUUGACCCAGCGACCAUCACAGAUCAAAUGGAGGUUAAGAGAAGAGUACAGUCGGGUAAUGUUCAGAAGGCGAUCGAGAAAAUCAACGACCUUAACCCCACGGUUCGAUGUUGUCUCUAUUCCUAGCAAAAUUAGUUCGAAUAGCAGCUCAGAUGCACAUUUAUGUAUUUUUACUGUGUUGUGGAAGAUCAGGAAGUAGGAAGAAAUUCACAUUUAGGUAUUUUACUGUGUUGGGAAAGAUCUCGAAGUAGGUUGAAGUUGCUGGGUUGUACAAAUUUGGUUAAUUGGUUUCCAUCCUCCUAUAGGUCUGAAAUAAAUACGGCAACCUAGAGAAGUGAAGAACUCAGGAUCCCUUCGAUCAUAUUUCUAAGCCAGAUUCAUCAUAAAAAUCCAGAAUUCCAACCAAAUGUGUAUUUCUACUGCAACGAUUGCAACACACAUAGGUAGCAAAUGUUCUAUGCUCCCUCACUCUCUACUUCCUGCUUCAGAUUUUGGCCAGAAGAGAUUCAAAUUUUAAGUGCUCCAUCAUUUUCGAUAAGAAGUAUGUUUGCUAUAUUGUUUCAGUUAUAUAUUUGUUGCCAGAAAUUUUCUUAGUGACAAUCAUUUAGGCGGAUCAAUUUAUCCUAAAACAUCAAUACUGCAAAUAACUCUACUAUCAGUGGAUAAAUUCUACAUGCUCAUAACGUGUGUUGAUAACAUAUUAACAUGUUAGCUGAAAUGUCAUAAUGGUGCAGAGAAAGAUUCUCUGCAAAAGUAAGAUUACUCAAGCUGCAAUUUAAAAAAUCUUGAUCUCCUUGCUUUUCUUUAGUUGCUUGUAGUCUUCAAUGCCUCAGCUAUAUGUUUUAUUGUUGUGACAUGUUGUUUCCCUUUAUAAUAAUUGUUGAUGCAUCUUUAUUAGAAGAAAGUACCGGUGGUGAAGAAUUUUUGUUAGCUCUUGCAAAACAAUUAUCUUUCCAUGGUCAAAAUUGAACCAUGUACAAACUGCCACCGCCUGAUAUUCACAAUGCCGAUUCUGGUCCAAGAUCCAAAACGGGUCAUUAUCAUUAUCAGGUCCUUUUGAUUAAGAUCUUAUAUAUAAAACGUAUGUUCACUUUGAUAUUAAAUUUAUUUUUUAUACGUAUUAAAUAUAACUUUGUCGUAGCAGCGCACGGGCAUUUGAUCAUCUAUACAUCCACACGAUAAUGAUGGUCCUCGCCUCAGUUGUCACCACCUCAUUCGUAAUUCUACUUCUUUUCUCUCUCCUUUCAUGCCUUCACCUCCGCGCCACCCCAUUCUCAGUAGAGGACGUAGGAGCAGGUGCCUCCUCCCCGUAUUCGUCCGACACCAGCCCCGACACCGACUCGCGCAGUGGCUAUUGCACGUUCACUGGGACAUUUCACAUCAUGCACACACCAUUAUUUUCGCCGUCGUCGGACGUCCCGUUCGUCUUCCCGGUCUUCGCCCUGUUCUUCCUCCCCAACCUGCUAUCCUCGCCCACGGUCGCAGCCGCGAGCCAACCGAAGCUCGUCGACGCGGGUACGGGGCGAGUCGGUCAUGCUCCUAGCCUUUCUCCAUGUGUGCCGUCAAGGAGGACAUGGUGGCGCCUGUCACGCUUAGGUUAUCUUAGUGAUGAGGAGUCCAGGCCUGAGAUAUUGGACAACUAAGGCACGUAGCAUGACAGCAGUCGGCAUAUGCUACGAAGUUGGUGGUGGUGUUGUGUCGCUUUGGCGGGUCCAGGGCUGGGAAGACACUUAUAUUCUCUCACCCUUCUCGGACUGACGCCUGGUGCGGUGCCUCUUGGUUUGGAGCUGCUCCGACUGGGCUUCUUUCUCCGCUUGCGUGCUCUCUCCCUAUAUAUCUAGCGGUAUACUACCUGUGUCGCCUCCAGAUGUCCAGGUCUUCGUCGUGUCCUUCUCCGGCAACGCACAGCGGCACAGGUACGCCCGCCUCUUCCCCUCCCGCUCCUGCUCUACGAAACCUUGGAAGUGAGGGAGGCGAGGGAUGAAGGUCUCUGAUUUGCUGACUAUAGUACCUGCACGUUCAUAAAAAAUAUUAUGCGAAAAGUGAAGACAACCAACAAAAAUCUUAAAAUCUUUUUGGUGAAUAAUUUACGUGGGUAUUGUUGUGAGCCGUCGCAACGCACGGGUAACCGACUAGUAUUUAUUAAAACCACACUUCAUUACACACUUUCGUAUACUUGAUCUAGAACACAAAGAUAGAGAUAAUGCUAGUUAGAUGUUUUUUGUAGCUUUAAAUUAGAGUAUGUGAUGUAAUUUUAUUUUUGUUAUGAAUAUUAGACAAUAAACUGAACUUACGAAUUUUGUAUAGAGCUGAUUAUACUCUUUUUCCUUCUAACAAAAUGAUAUGUAAACGAGGUAGUCAUUGCAUAGCUAUGGUAACUUUAAUAUAAAUAUUAAGUUUUUUUGUUCAAAUUUAUUUAUCUUGUUUUUAUCUGUUUUUUUAAAUUUAGGGCUCUUAUGUGAAUUUCGGGCCAAAAACUAAAUUUCGAGUCCUAAUGUGAAUUGCGGGCUUUUAUAAUUUUAGACCGCCCGAAAUAAGACCGACACGUUUAAGCAGUUGCGGGCCGAACCGUGUGCCGAGGGCUAGACAUGUGGGCCGGUCCGGCACGGACCGAAAUUUAAACGGGUCGGGCUGGCCCGAAAUUCAAACAAUACUGGCCUUUUCGAGCUGGGUCCGGGCCGGACGGCUCUAAUGUACACCUAUAGUGGUGGAAGUGGGCGCUCGAUCGGUGACGCCGUCGGUGAAAGGGUGGAGGAGGCCGGCGCCCGGCGGCGCUGGCGCUGUCGUUGUCCAGGUCCCGCAGCAGGAGGCCGUCGACGGAGUCGGUGGCGCAGUGGUCCUGGAGGAGCGGUUUUUUUCCAGGCGCGCACCAUGCGCCCCGUUCAUGUCGAGGUUGAGGAAGCGGGCGUGGCCGGGGUAAGAGGCCGUGGCCGUCGGGGAGCAUCACGCCAUCAUCCAGCGCCGCCGCGGGUGGAGACGCAGAUCGGAUAUACUCUUUCUUGUUUAUUUAUCGUAGUUUAGUUCAAAAUAAAUUAACUAGCGGCGACAAAUAUUCGAUAACUGAGGCUGAGCUCGUCCAACUCCAAUCGGCUGCACAGACAGUGCAGAUUGUUGUCGGCAUCAACGGCAUGGCCACAUGGCAAACCCCACGGCCAAAACUGGUGAUGGCAAUGCCACCUCGUUCUGGUUCGACGUUUUUCCUUGCGUGUACUCUGCUUGUAAAAGAGAAAUUUGGAAUUCUGUUAUUAUCCUAUAAUGCCAUUUUGUCAUUUAAUAAAACGAAAAAGUGAAUGCAACAGAAGCACCCGCAGUCGGCUACAAAGGGAUACAAAGACACUCCUUCACUGUAUAUAAAUAUAUACAAGAUCAAUAAAAAGUGACUACGAGUUUUCAUUCUCUGUUCACACAACUAUUUACAUUUAACAGUCACGUCCUCUGCCUCGCACCGGGAGAUCGACAGCUCAUGCCGCAGCUCCAGCAGCAUCGCCGUGGGCACCGAGGACGACUGCGAGUGCUCGGUUCUGUUGCCUCGCCCUUCAAUACAAUGUAAAGAUCACUUUUAAAAGCUAGAUUGGAAACCCUAUUUUCUUAAGAGAUUUACAUUUUAUUAAAAAAAGUAGUUAUUUUUUCUUGGAAAAAUAGGAAUAUCUUGGAAGAAUAGAGUUACCAAACUAGCCAUAAUAAUAGCAAAAUUCCAAGUUUCCGCUUGAAAAACGAGUGAGUUCUAUAGGGAAGAUUGUCUCAGUCAUGAAGAGGCCUGCCCUAGGCACUCCCAGGCUGGUGCCAAGAAACUUAGAACGAAUGAGGUCUCUUCCUGUCUGAAAUUUCUUCUAUGGAUGAACCCUGAAGCAAUGCUUCAUUGUUCUGAUACGGAAGUUGGCUUGAAUUUUCAAAAAGAAAAAGGAACAAGGAAGAUCAAUGUGAGCAGACCAAUCCAUCUUCACGAAGGGGGAAGGGGAAACAUGCAGGAGGUACAAAUACAAUCAGUAAGGCCAGCACAACAGAGGUCACACCUGAACUUUCAGGGACUUGAUAAAUUAGGCAUCAAAAAGAUCAACGUACAAAGGAAAGCACAAGCAUCUUUCAUUGACUCACAGAAUUAACCAUAAGAAAGAUACAGAAGUUAGUAAAGACAGGAAGAUCGAAUCUCAAAAUACCAUGGCCAUGAUACAGCAAGAAAUGAUAAGCGCAUAGAGAGAGAGAGAAAAAUGUAAAAUGUGCAAGCAAGCAGUUCGGGGGGUGCUAUUUUCAGGAAACGCUGGGUCAGUCAUCAUCUAGUACACAACAGCGAUGGAAAUGGCUUUCGGUCUCAUCUCCACGCUUCGAUCCGCUCAACUCUGGAGUUUAUCCGGCUCACGAUGCUCGCACCUCUUGAUUUCUCAGCUGCAGGCGUGGUGCGCGUGCCAGACUGGCCCUUGCCCUUUCUAGUCCUCCUCCGGUUCAGGCUUCGGCUCCCCUUGCCUGCCUGGAGAGAAUUUGUGGCUGUCGUGCCGGAAGCAUCAGCGAUAGCAGCUGGGCCAGCAGGUGCAGGCUGUGAGCCACUACUAGUGGAGUCCUCCACACCCGUUGCUACCUCGCUUGUCUGGGCAGUGAAAGCAGCAGUGGCUCCUAAAUCGGUGUUAGUUUCGUUAGACUUGUCAUCAGUGCUGUGGCCAGGGCUGUUCAGGAGGGGCUCUUCCUUGGCGAAAGAAGGGCGCCUGGAUCCUUCCUCGAGGAGAGAAUCAAGUGUCACGGUGGGCUUCUGAUGCCCGUUUUCAUCAGAUGGGUCCUUCUGGGGCAGCAAAGCAUCCUCUGGGGUCGACUCCUCUCUAUCCUUGAGGGUCUUUUGUACCAGCAUCUUGAGAAAAUUCAUCACUUGGACUGCAUACAUCAGUGCAGUCAAAGGAUCUGCCAUCUGCAUUGUAAGCGUGCUAUAGUUAGCAUCAUUGUGAUGGGUGAAGUAUAUAUUGAUAGUUUGCUAAUCGCUAUCGUAUCAGCACAAUGCAAUACCUGAGUCAUAUUUGGUGCGAAGACCAUAGCAAUAUUGCGAUCGUUCAUCUUGUUUAUGUGUUCUUCUUGGACUACGUCGGCCAUCAGAUUCACAGCCCAGUCAAGCAAAGCUGCUUCAGCUGGUGGAAGGCAUUUCGCUACGCGAGCACAGUCCUCUUCAGAUUGGCAUUGCAUCACCUGUUCAGGUGGGAUAGGGUCCAGUACACCCCUCGGCAUUUCUCUAAACCAGGCCUGAAAAAAAAUGAAAAUUUAAAUUGGAUGAAAACAUACUUUUUGUCUUGCCAAGAAGUGACUAGCUAGCGAGCAAAAAAAAAACAACGUGCGGGGGUAAGAAAAAGACCUUCUCAUACAGACCAAGAAAACCUCCAAACCUCUACCCCACCCUUACACAACGACACCGUAGCCCAUGUGAGAACGACUGGGACCGGGACCAAACCUUAGACCUAUGCCGAGUCGAACUCAAGACCAAAGGAAUGUUACCCAGAACACCUAACCAACUCAACUAGAGGCCGUUAUGUCAAAUAAGUUGUCCAACCAUGCUCAAAAAACAAGAUGACCAAAGUCCUUGACAUCUCCAAAAGUAAGAUCAUGAUCUACAACGAAUACUGCUAAAUGGCAUGAUCACAGACCACAAUCACAAAAAAAAGUGAGGCAAUAUCACUGUACAAGUAAAAAGAGAUGGGAUUGUGAAGUCUGGAUUCUCUGGCAGGCGUUGACAUGCAAUUCCACCAAAAAAAAGGUAAGCACGGUCAUUUAAUAACUCUCUAAUUACUAAACAGGUGAUUAAGAAAAAGAUGCUUCCAAUAGAAUGAUUAUGAUUGUAUAAGCUACAUGAAAGAAAUUAGCUUACUUUAAUUAGACCUGCCAAACAGUGGACAUCAAUGCCAUCUGGAACAAUUCCACUAUUUAGUUGGUCUCUCACAAACUCUUCCUGGCUAUUUUCUGCAUUUAUACGGAAGAUACCUUCUGCCUGACAGUACAAAAUAAGGAAACACUUAUUUGAUCAGAAAUAAGGCUUCCAAACACUGACGGCAACAGACUAAGAAUCAUAGGAUGAUAGGAGAUCAUAAAAGACACACCUGAAGACCACCCUGUUCAUAAAGGCGUCUCUGCAUCAUCAAAAGGAUGGUUGGGACACUGUUUCCUCGGGAAUCAUAGGAACACUGCAUUGAUUCUGUUGAAACACCGAAGACACUUGCACUGCAUAUCACGUUUUAAUCAGCCAAUGAACAGGAUUUGCCAAAGUAAACUUGUGAUGGAAGUAACAAUUAUGUUUUCAUAAAAUGCAUAUUAGCACUGAAAAACGAGAAAAAUAGAUGUGACUUUCAAGGUUAAGGAUAUGUUUACAUGAACACAAGAACGGUCCUUCAAUAAUUCAAAUUGUAAAUGCAUAUGGUGCCAAGAAUAUGUCCAAUUAUCAGGUGAUUUUUAUUGAUCAUAUAUUAGCAAUCCUUGAGUUUGAAGAUUAGGUGUUAGGUGUUUGUGCCACUUUAUCUUCUUUUGGAGCACUAGGCUCCCGUCCUCCUAUAAAGGAGAACUAAUAUAGAACCCCUUUUUAAUUCUUUUUAGCCUAAUGCUGAAAACCGACACCUUGGAAUUCACAAUAAGAAAUAAGGUACAAGAUACCUAUGUACUUUUCUUAUACUUUGUACCCUGUUCCUAUAAUAAGUCAGAUAGUAUAGCAAAGUACAAUAGAAAUAAUAAGGUCUACUAUACAAACAAUAGAUCAAGGAGAAUAAAAGAUUAAAAACCAAAGUAAUUUGCAAGUCUAGUGAAAAAAUAACGAAUAAUCUAAUCAAGACAAAAUAGGCCAUACAUAAAUCAUGGAAUCCCUCGCAACUUUUUUAUCCUACUAAUGACAGAUGAUGUAACAAUCAACUUUAUGUACCUAGUUCAAUCGGAAUAAUUCCUAGAUGAGGUAAGCAAGUACAACAAAAUCAUGGAUGCUAGAAGAGUGCAUCAGAAAAAAUGAUUGACCAAUUAUUUGAUAUAACAUGGGGAAAAAACACGCAGAAAAUAUUUAUAUGCAAAUUGUGGUCCAAAGCAUAUCCACCAUCAGAAGACAUGUUCAUUUCAUCAAUACUACAGUUCAAAUCCUGCAAAGGCUGCCAUAACAAAAACCAACUUCAUACUUUAUAACAUGAUUUAGAUGGAAUUCAAACUCCAGCUAAAGUUUUGCUUUUUCAAAAGUUUAUUUCAGAUCAAAGCAGCAUGGAGGUUGUAAGACUGUGUUCAGCAGUUCAUCCAUAUGGUCACCAAAAAUAUUGUUUUGCACUGUAGAUUCGCAAGGUGGAGUUUGAAUAUGGGGAAGGAUAAGGAUCAAAACUAUAGUACUGAAACAACCAUACCAUCAAAAUGCAACUAUUAACCACCUCCCGUGUCAAGCAAACACCAUUUACAUUUUACAACUUUCUAACAGAACAGAAUCUAAUACUUACUAUCUGCAACUGUUGGAACCAAAGCACCACAUAUAUUUGGAAUUAUAAGAAGGGGGGAAAAAAGGUGCAAACACCAUCCAAGCGAAAAUUUAAAUUGGAGCAAACACCAUCCAUGUUAUUGCAUAAGUAAACUCUGAAAAGAAAGCCAGAUUUUCUGGAAGCGUGAACUCGAUAGCAAUUUGAUGAGGGAGAAGAGACAUACCUGGCACUGGGAGCACGGCGGGGCACUUCGGGCUCGAAUUCAACGGGCAGGCCUAGGAAUCCGUGGAACCUAUCGAACGUGACGUGCGCCACGUGCUGCACGUCCGUGGGCAACCCAAUCUCCAUCCCGCAGCCGCCGUGUUCGCCUUCGCCGCCGCCCACGGUCCUGCACCCGAGCAACGACUUCCGCAGUAGCUCAAAGAGCAGCGCCAAGAAGGACCACCGCUCCUCUUCCUCCUCCGCCGCCUCUUGCCCGCGCAGUUCAAGGAGUCGUCGGCUCCCCGCAGAUCCCGCAGUGCGCUCCGGGCUGUCGCUUCCUUGGAGCACGUCGCUGUCGGCAUUGGCUAAAUACCGCAGCGAAGAGGAGGGGGAGGGGGAGGGGGAGGCGGGGGCGCGGCUUGCGGUGGAAGCGAGGUUGGUCGGGCCCCGGAGGAGCGCCACCUCCGUCAUUGCUCCCCUCCUUUCCGAAUUCUCACUGGAAUUAUGAGCUGUGAUCUGGUGCGGUGUAGGGCCGAUUUGGGGGCGGGGGCGGAUUCGGGAUGAGUUUUCUUGGAGAUUUCGGUGAUGGUGGAGCGGGGCCAAAUGCACCGAGAAAUGAUUGGGGAUUCUCAGUGGAGUUCUUGGUGCGCCCCCCCUAUUUAGGAUUUCUGAUGCUUGCUUCCCCUUCUUCCGGAGAUUGGGAUUGUUGGGGCAGGACGGGGACUCGAAGGGGGGAGGAGGAUUGGUUGUGGUGGUGCGCGUGGUCCAAAUCCACGAAUCCAAAUCAGAAAGAAAGAAAAAAACAAUUGGCGCGUCGAGAAAUGGACAACAGAAGGGGGAUUUUUUUAUUAAAGAAAACUCCGGUAAGGAAUCUUUAGAAAUAAAAGACGCAAAUUUUUAGCAGGGGAUGAUGAGCUCUCGUCGUGGGGGCGUUUGGUGGAGAAUGGAUAGGAUUUUUGUGGAGGUGGAGUUGGAUUGAAGGGAGGGCUUGAGCUGGCGGCGAUGGCAGUAUGGCACCAUCAUUCGUCUACUGCUCCUACUCCUCUCCCUUCUCCUUUAUGGACACAUGGAUGCUCGUGCGCACGCUCUCCUCGCUUCUCGUUCACGCGUGCGGGCGUGCGUUCCUUCAUCACUGUUCAUGCUACACAUCAUCUCACUCAUCAGACUCUGGAAAAAAAAAGUCUAGCCUUUUGAUAACCGUCUCGAAUUGCCUACGCCACCGGGAGUUUACGUGAUGGACAUACCAACCAUGGCUUUCAGAGUACUCGAGUGAUUUAACUGACUGUUAGGUGUUCAGUGUUCUUGUCUCCUUUUGGACCCUACUCAGGCUGUAUUUGGUUGCUCCUGCUAAAGUUUAGCUCGGGUCACAUCAAGCGUUUGACUUUUAAAUAGGAGUAUGAAAUAUAGAUCCAACUAACUGAACUAGAUUCGUCUCGUCUUUUAAUCUUCGGCUGACAAAUUAGUUUUAUAAUCCGACUACAUUUAAUACCCGGAACGGAGGUUCAAACAUUCGAUGGGACAGAGGCUAAAUUUUAGCGGGGUGUAACCAAACACCCCCUCACUCCCUACAGUUUACGCAGCUUCUGCAAGUUUUGCAGUACAGUCAUUAUGUGAUAAUAAAGUAAAUAAAAGGAUAACUGGGAAUGGGAGGCAUGGAUUAUUUUUUUACUGAUGUCAAGAAGAAAAUUUUUGCUCGAACUAAGGACUAAAAAGGAACUCGGAACGAGCGUUCUCACCUUCCAAAUGGCGUCAAAACCGUGAAGUGGAAGGUAUUCACCGUACGGUCCAUUCUUGUCUCUUUUUUUCGCUCAAUUUGCAUCGCACAAAAGGUCGUAAUUUGGUUCAGCUAAAGAGAAAGGCUCCGUUUGGCAGCUAGGGACGGGCAAAGGUUAAAACUUUAUGGCUCCAUAACAUAAUGCUGGGAAUGCAAUUUUAGCUGUUUUUCGUCUAGAUUCUAGACCUUUAUCCAUUGUGUUGUGUGUGACGUGCAAGAUCAAGAAGAGAGAUGCCACAUGCCAUGCCGUUCAUCAUCUGACGGCGCCAUAAGUUUCACACUUCGUCAGGUGUCAGAGACAAGAUCUGCUACCGCAUUACAGGAUAAAUAUACACAGUAUAGUACUCCAUUGGUGUAUAGGAUUCCUUCUGCUGACCACGUGACGUGCAUGUGCUCUUCCUUCUCAGUAUUGAGCUCACAGCUGACGAGAGGAGGUUCUGGAGUUUAAAUUCAGGUUUCAGACCUAAAUUACAGCCAACAAGAGCUGAUGAAACAUUAAACUUUAGGUAAGCCCAAUCAUUUGACUAAGGGGCUGUUUGGAAGCAGCCAGUUUUUUUAAGAAAUUAGUUUAAAAAAAACUAAGACGGUUUCGAACAUAAUAGUUUAUGUUCCAAUUUAUAGAAACUUUUACAAUUCCUUAAAAACCAAGAACCUAGCCUCCCUUACCUAAAAUUAGUUUAUGAAAACUAAAAUUGUUUCAAACACUAUAAACUAGUUUUAAUUUAUAAACCAGUUUAUAGAAACAAAAGAUACUUACAAGUGCCAUAACUGUGAUUUGUAAUCUUUAGUGAUUAGGACAUUGGAGAGACACUAGAGAAUGUGUGACCUUGUGUUUUCUUGGUGCUCUUGUUGCUUGGUUUUCUUGAUCGUGUUUUUCCUCUCUUUCUAAAUUCUCGUUGACUUGUAGAGCUAGCAAGAGACAAAUAAGUGUGUGGUGAUCUUUGUGGGGUCUAAGUGACCCUCGAGAUUAAAGAGAAGCAUUCAAUCGAUCUAAGUGACCGCUUGAGAGAGAGAAAGAGUUGAAAGAGAUCCGUCCUACGUGGACCCCUCAAUGGGGAGUAGUUUAUUUGGAACCGAACAUCGCGAAACAAAUCGUCUAUGUCUUUGUGUCAACCUUGCUUUGCGAUUGAUUAUUCCUCUCUCCUCUUUCUAAUUCUCUUGCUUGCGAUCGAUUUGAGUUAACUCCCAAAGUUAUCCGCAUUAAUUGAGUAACUCUAAGCAAGAAGAACUCUACUUCCACACUCCAAUUUCAUUAAUACUCAUGCUAAUGCUAACCUCAAAAAAUGUUUGUGUUUAAAGAUUGUAAUUUUCAAGUUUCGUCUAUUCAUCCCAACUAGGCGACUUUCAAAAAACAAGAAAUAAUUUGUUCCAAUUGUGUCCUUUUUUCUAGAACGUAUAGACAAACUAGAUACAAAUCUAUACUACUUAUUAAGGCGGUAAGGGUAGCCUGCCUUCUCUCGUUCUGCCUUCGGUGAAUCUACACCGUCCGUUCGCUUCCGUGAAUCCACACCGUUCGCCCGCCCACGCCCGCGUUCGUUCCCCCGCCUCCCCUCCCCCACCCUGCGUGAGCCGCCGCCGCCCCAUCCCCAUCCGCAUCCCCCGCCGUCGCGAAUCGUGCGACCUCCGCGCGACCCGACCUGCCCUCUGUCGCGCCCUACGACACCGCCUCCUCGCGCCCAAGCCCAUACUCAAAACUCAGCCAAACCCCUCGCAUCUUCCCUCCCACCGAUGCAAUCGCGCCGCCGCCCCCAUCCCCCGUCGACGCACCUCCCCGUCGGCCGCCCACCCCCUCGAAGCACCUUCCCGUCGCCCACUUCGCGCGAUGUGCCCACCCCCGCCUGUUGCGUCAGCAUCCUCCCCGUUCGCGAUUGGCUCGAGCGGCACUGAUGGAGCGACGACUCCGUUUCCCAGAAGGCGAAAGGCUGAUGAGAUCGGAAGACGAUUCGUGCCGAUCGCACACCGGUAGGCGGUGGCGAGCCGCGCGAGAUCUCUCGCGUCCUCCCGGUUCGCAGGGACCAUGGCGUCCGCGCCGACGCGCACCUCUACAACGCGCUGAUGAAGGCGAACGUCGCGGCAGACGACCCCGGGGCCGUCCUCAGGGUGUUCCGGCAGGUUUCAGUUUGAUAAUUCUUACAGUAUUUAUGUUUUUCACCUCCAUAGACCACAAUUUGAUAAUUCUUGUUUGUUAGUUAGCAGUUUGUAGUACUCAUGUCUCUUUCUAGCUAAUUAUUCUAAUGAUGCAGGUUUCAGUUACUGGUACAUUCUUGGUGAAUAAAGAACAUGUGGAAAGUCACAGGUGGUCAUGUAUGUUUGGGGAUGUUGAAGUACCAGCUGAGGUUUUGACCGAUGGCACGCUACGCUGCUAUGCACCAGCACACCAAUCAGGAAGAGUUCCAUUUUAUGUGACCUGUUCAAACAUGGUGGCUUGUAGUGAAGUGCGAGAAUUUGAGUAUCGUGAUUCUGAAGCUCAUUACAUGGAUACUUCUCGUUCCCAAGCCAAUGGUGUAAAUGAAAUGCAUCUACACAUUUGUCUUGAGAAGCUACUCACUUUGGGGCCAGAUGACCAUCAAAUGCUUGCUAUAAAUUCCUUAAUGCUUGAUGGGAAAUGGUCAAAUCAAGAAUCUUCUGUCAAGGAAGUAGUUUCCACUGCUAGGGUCCAAAGUUUAAAGAAACUGGUGAAAGAGAAGCUGCAUCAAUGGCUCAUCUGCAAAGUAAACGAUGAUGGAAAGGGUCCCAAUGUUAUGUGCAAGGAAGGACAGGGUGUGAUUCAUUUAGUAGCAGCACUGGGUUAUGAUUGGGCUAUAAGACCGAUAAUAAUUGCUGGUGUCAAUGUGAACUUCCGAGAUGCUCAUGGAUGGACUGCACUCCACUGGGCUGCGUCUUUGGGAAGGUAUGCUCGCACACAUUAAAGCAAUUUGAAACAGGGAUGUCCAUGCUUAGCUAGAGUUUUAUGUAAAGGAAGCUACCUCUAUUUCUUUCCCAUCCCUUUAUCUUGCACUUUGUUUGUACUUUAGUAGGAGCUUGGACCUUUUUCUGUUAUUGAACCUUAUAUUUUAUGCUUUUUUAGAGAGCGGACAGUUAGUGUUCUCAUAGCAAAUGGACACAAGAUCCCGAUGCGGCAAUGGCGGACAGCAACGGGCGCUCAACGCCACCGCGCCUCCUGCGAGAUGUGUGGUCUCGAUCUAGAGUCGAAGGACUUCCCCAACACCCUUUCCUCCAUCGGCGCGACAUCGGCCAGCUCAUCUGCGAUGACGAGGCAUCUUCGACCGACUUCCCAACACCCCAUCCUCCAUCAAUGCGGCUCCAGUACCCCUUCCUCCUUCGGCGCGGCAGCAUCCAGUUCAUCUGCGACGACCAUUUUUCCUUUCUGAGGUAGAGCAAAGCACCCUGGCACUGCUCUUAAAGGAACUGCCAUUUUUUCUUCUUUUCGCAGCUGGUUGACCAGUAGUACCAUUAUUUAGUGGCUCAAUAGAUACAUUAAUCUUAUUAUUUGAGGUAGAGCGAAGCACCCUGACACUGCUAUUGGGACUUCCCUCCUUUGAACGACUGACACCUUUCCUUCUAUUUGCAGCUGGUUCAACAGCACCACUAUCAUUUAAAGGCUCGGUACAUGUCUCAUUCUUAUAUUUUGAAGUAGAUCAAAGCACCCUGACACUGUUGAUGGGACUUCCCACCUUUGACGGACUGGUGCAUUUUCUUUUACUUGAAGCUGGUUCAACAGCAGCACUAUCAUUUAAAGGUUUGAUACAUGUCUCAUCCUUAGCUUUUGAAGCAGACCGAAGCACACUGAGACCAGAGCUCAGACUCCCCACCUUUGAGGAAUUGGCG
rnacentral:lncRNA from 1 species